CAGAGUAUUGAAUCUCCUCAAAUUGAAGAUGUCAUUUGAGAGGCAGAAGAUUGACCUAAGCAUUGCCUGUGCAAAGAGAUAAACUAUUAAGAUCUUCACGUAUGUUUAGCAACCUAACGUGAAUAUAAAUUCAAGACUUAAAUCCUUUUCUAUUGUGAACAUAGUGUUUUUGUAGGAUGGUAAUUUCUAUCGUGACACGAUAAUAUAAUUCGAGUAUAACCAAAAUUAAUAGAUUUUGACACAAUUUGAACUUUAGUAGGUCGUUAUUGAGUUAACCUAUUAGUGACACGAAUAUAAAUAAGUUGGGUUGGAUCAGCUUGCAGGCUGACACGCUAACCCAUUAAGUACUUAUUUUAUAAUACUAAUUAAACACUACAAAGGUCAUUUUGAGUAUGUAGUAAAAGCUAAUAAUGAUCAAAUGUGGCUUGAAGACUUCCGGUAGAAGUUUUAAAAACUCACAAGUUUAUAUUAUAUCAUAUAUGGAACUGUCUGACCAUGCCCCUAAAAGGUUGAUUAGAUUGCAUUUUUAAGAAACUUUUUUGGAGAAAAAUUGCUUUAGCACUUUUUAAGAUGUCAUGUAUGCGAAAUGAAGAUGAUUAAAAAAUAUGUAGAAGCAAUAUUCAUAGAAAAUGGAGAAAAAUUUCAAAAAAAAAAAAAAAAGCAAUCCAAAUAAGGUCGAAUUUGUUGCUUACAUUAUGCUUGGAAAGUUUCAUUAUCUAUUAUUUUUUGAAUGUUUUGAAAAUUUUAAAUUUUGUGUUGAUUAUAUAUUUCAAAAAAUUUAUCACGUGUUUCAACAACAACAACAUUGAAUCGAUGACAUGAUCAAAUAGGUUAAAAUAAGUAAUUAAAAUGCUAGACUAUUUUUGACAUAGGUUAGUAAGAUUAAGAUGGUAACGUAAUGUAUCAUAUAAAAAAAAAAAUUUGGUUAAAAUAAAUAAUUAGAAUGCUAGACUAUUUUUGACGUAGGUUAGUAGGUUAAUUUGGCAAAAUGACAUAUCAUAUCAAAACUAUUUUAAUCAUAUAAAGUGCUUAAUGGUUUACACGGGUUGGAUUAGAUCAAUCUCUUAAUAAACAGGCUCUGAUACGACACAACGCGAAAAUCUAGUAGAUUGAAUUAGGAUUGAAGUUUUCUAAUAUGAACACGAUAAUGACACAAUAAGUACAUGACACGACCCAUUGCUACCCUUAGGUUUUUGUGCCUAUUAGCUGCAAAUAUAUUUCAUUCGAGCCUUAGUUUCCUGGUCCAAAUUCUGUAGAAAUGAAAUUUGAAUUUGAAAUAGGUGGAUAACUAAUAAUUGCAUGUCAUACCAUCAAGUAAUGUGACAAUAAAAAGGUAGUAUGACCUAGAAUACCCAGCUCACUCCUCUUUUGCCAACAAAAUGUAGAAUUUUCAAGAAAAAGGCAGUAGGAAAGGUGGUCCAUCAAGGAUGGUCAGGAAUAUUUUGUGCUGGAAAGACAAUCUUAUACAAUUUCCAAUUGUUUUCUAUGCACCAUAAGUAACAAGUAACACUCCAAAACUUAAAAGACUAGGUUUGCAGUUUAAGUCACAAAUCGUCUCCCUAUUAAGCAGCGGAGAUGUGCUCCUAUCUAUCUCCUUGAAAUCACAGAGCCACUUGCUCCUAACCAUCUCCUUGAAAUCACAGAGCCACCCUAACCACGUCGCCAAAACAUGCAUUGAUCAUUUUCUGUUCUACAUAUUAGCCUCCGUUAAACUUGGGACUUCAAAAGGAGACAGGACUUGACACAGAAUUAAUUGACGUCACACAAAGCCUGUCAUUCAACUUAAAAUUACAGGCGUACUACUACACAAAGAUGUUUAAGUAGAGCAUAUAGGCCAUGUUACCGCUACAGUCAGCUAAAUCCUCCUACAACAGCAUCAAUUUCACCUGUCUGUAUUCACUAAACCUCGAAUGCUACCUAAAUCAGGCAAGUAGCUUUCUCAUCUUAAUACAAUACAUAAGUUCAAUAAUAAUGCUUGAUUUUAGACCAAAAAAAAAAAAGAUAGGAUGCAACAGUUGUAUUACACUUUUCCUUUCUGACAUAUUGUACCAAGUAUCCUUAUGCCUUUUCUACCACUCUUGCUGCUGCCUCAGUUCAUUGAUGAUGCUAAAAAACUUUAGAGGCUAUACCUUCAACAAAAGCCUCUUAUUCCUAAACCAAGAGAGUACGAAGGGUAAGGCAAUCCAACUAAAGUCAAGAACUCACAUAUCAGAUGCCCAUCCAUGCUAAGGGUUAUGUAUGCCUACAUGUUUUCAGAUCUAUAAAUCUAACACCACAGCUAAAUAUCUGCACAGGUUACAGAAAACAUAGCACAUUAGACUGGUCCUAGGACAGGCAAUAAUCAGUUCACAUAUCUAGAGGUAUGUUCAUGAAGACAAUCUCCAAUUAAAUUGUGCAGACACUGUUUGGUUGACUAUAGACAGUUUCCACGGAUAUGUUCCUAUAGACUACUCUUCCAAGUCUCAGACACGAAACUAAUGAUUUUCCAUUUAUCUUUUAUGCACAACCAACAAUCAUUUCAGUAGCCAUCAAUACAAGAUCCCUUGAGAACAUAACUAGUCCGAAUAAAUACAAAAAUAUCAGGUGUUCACAAAAUAGAGUUAAGGCAGAAUCUGUAGGUGGAGAAGAUCACAUUGAUGUGCUUAUAGUGGCAGUACCAAUAUGCCCCUAACCUGAUUACAUGGCAAGGAAGAGACAGCACAGAUGACACAAAACUAAGCACAUUAAACUGGUCCCACAACAGCCAAUAACCAGUUCAUAUAUCGAGAAGUAGGUUCAUGUAGAUCAUCUCCAAUUAAAUGGUGCAAACACUGUUUGGUUCAGAUAUGUUCCUAUACAAUACUCUUCUUAGACACUAAACUACUGAUUUUUAUUUUAUUUUAUUUUAUUUAUUUGUUUAUUUAUUUUUGCACUACCAAUGAUCAUUUCUUUAACCAUCAAUAUAACAUCCAUUAAAUAAUAUAACGACUCUAAAUAAACACAACAAUAUCAGGUGUUAACAAAAUGCAAUGAAGAGCAAAAUCUGUAGGUGAGGAAGAUCAGAUAUAUGUGCUCAUCGUGGCAGCACCUAUAUGCCCUUAACCUGAUUACAUGACAAGGAAGAAACAGCAUAACGAGGAAACUAACAGGAUCCAACUCAACAUACCAGGGCUACAACAAAACAUUGAACCACCCAAAUAAAAGUAACUACAUAUCAGGUGAGAAACUAUUAACACCAAAAUACAAAUUGUAUACUUGUUACUACAUUAAAACCAAUGAUAAUCUGUGUCAAGUGCAUCACAAAUUACACUACCACCACAACACUUCACAAGCACCACAAAAAAUCACAAUGCCCCUAAUUGAAAUGCCAAUUUCUAAACAUCAUACUACAUUGCUCAUCAAGGAUAGCACCCUCCAUUUCCUCUAUUUUGUUUUCCUUGUGAUUUGCCAAAAACCAAACAGGGGCUUAAAGAAUACAUGAGGCAGUCCUCUUAAAUUAGAACACAAGGAAAAUAUUAUUAGCAGGGGGUUUUUUUAACAACUUUAUUUUGUUUGUGGGUAAGGUUUUUUAUCUAAACCUGUAGAAAAGAAGUAUAAGAGUUUAAAAUUAUGCAAAUGUUUGAUGGUUCACAUGUCAUAUGUCCAAAUAUCUUGCAAGAAAAAUACAAUUUCAGAGAUUAUCUCAUGAUCUAGACUACCUGACAUUACCUUACCCCCACACACCACAACCCCCCCCCCCCCCCAAAAAAAAAUAAAAACAGCCCCCAAAAAAGAAGUAAAAUUUUCAAGAGAAAGGUUGGCUUUGUAUGGAUAGCAAAUUUUUUCCAAAAAAAUUUUCGCUUGCAUCAUAAACUCAUUUCCCAAUCCACCUUUUUAUAUUCCCAACCACCUUUUUAUCUCAUAUACAUCACAUCACAAAAUAUGCUACAGCAAUUAUUCCACAAGAUGAAUAAUACUCUACAGUAAUUAUUUGGAAUAAUACUCUAUCCAUAGUAUUCUACAAGAUGAAUUAUUCUGGCAUUCAUUAUUGUUUUCCACCUUCAUCUCUUUGAAAUGAUCCACAAUCCAAACUGAGGAAUUAUUCUAAUGAAUCCUUUUCCUUUGAUUACCACUUCACUUUUGCCAACCAAAAAGAUUUAGGGUUUUACUGCCAUUUCCUUCGUUUCUUUCCCCAAUAAUUUGCCAAGACAAACAGGGACUUAAAGCAGAAAAACUUAUAGUAUGGGAUAGUACUUGAAGAUUAGAAAACUAGGAAAAUAUUAUCAAAAGAAAACUUCAUAAAUGCUAAUCUAUCAAGAACCUUUUACGCUUUUCAAGAAAAUCUCCCAUGUAGUCCAAAGAAUGAUUUCAAGUUACAGAUCAUGAAAUGACAAACAAGUUUUUUGAUGCUAAUUGGGGCUCCACGUUGAUAUAUUUGCCAUAAAUGCAACUUGAGGUAUAAAGGUCAUAGAACAUAUUGGUGAGGAUGAAGUUCAAACUACAAAUCGGUAAGUGACAUAUCGCCCUGCUGUCUCACUUGGUCGAAUAAUUUUCACAACUUGACCACGCUUUAGCCCGUAAUAUCUGGCAAUUGGAUCAGUUAUCUGAAUCCUAGGCAACUGCAACCAAAAGUUUAACAAAGCAAGAUUUUGAGAACCAGAAUGGAAAUCAAAAAGUGUGAAGAGACGGAGAUGAUAAACAAAACAUGCAUGAUUUCUUGAUUUCUUUUUCCAACCAACAAUUUGUUAAGAUUUCUACUGAGAAAGAGAUAUAGAGGGAAAAUGGACAAGAAAGGCUUAAGAAACUACUACAGUAAAACACAGGAAAAUAUAAGUUUGGAUAGGGUAUUAUUUGAAAUAUUAUUUGGAAUAAUUACUGUAGCACUUUUUGUGAUGUGAUGUAUGUGAGAUAAAAAACUGUAUUGGAAAUUGUAAUGGUGAUGUCAGCAAAUAUAUUUGGCCAAAUAAUCUACUGUCCAAACAUGCUGCACAACAUCCUGUCUGUUCCUUCGUUGUAAUGCUAAUAUCUUAUAAACCAAGAAAUCUUUUUGCCCUCCAAGGGAAAGAAAAAUUCAAGUUCCUAAGAGGUCAAGGAACAUGGUCUAUCAGCUUAUGUCAACAGCAGAACUUCAAGCACGCAUACAUGCAGAUGGAUCUGUAUGACUGCUGAAUUUCCACCUAUAUUAACUAUACACCUUACUACUGCUAGAGACAAAAGUAGUGAUAAAGAAACACCAAUUGCACAAAGACAGAAACCACCAACAUUCUAACCUGCGUCUCUUUCACAGUAUAUCUUUCCAGCAGAGUUUUCUUCUCUUCUGGGGUUAGCAGCUGGUGCUCAGGAACAAGAACAUGAUUUUUUAUGUUGACUAACAACUCUGCUUCCUGUUUUGUGGUAAACAUAAGGCAAUUAUUAAACAUCCUUCGCAUGAAUAUGCACAUAAAUAUACUCGAACACACUGCCAGUAAAUCAAAGAAACUAAUGGAAUUGAAUACCAAAAUAAUACAUGGUCACAUAGCAUAAACCAGUCCAUUCAAAAUAUUAAAAUCUGAAACCAGACAAGUUAUUGUAACAUAGAGAGCUGAAAGAGAGAAUCCCUAUGCUGAUUUUUCCAGACAAAUUGAGCUGUGAACUUGCAUCAGACUUCUGAAAUGUAUAAUGUCCUAGUUGGAUAGAAUAAAUUAUGACAAAACAGAGGGUUAAUUUGUUUCAUUUUCUAGAUUAGGAGGAAGCAUCAUUUUUUAAAGAGUUACACAUUACAAAAAAUACGGCCAAACAAAAAGAUGACAUUUGAUUUGCAAAUUCAACUGUUUCAUUGAAUGCACAAAUUGUUACCUGAAAAACCUCCAAGUGGAACUUUGUAGAUAUUUCACUGAUGCAGGUUCUUGCAAAUGGCGUCAAAUUCUGCUGGACAACCAAGAUUGCUCGAAAAACAUUGUCAUUCUUCAUACGAUUUGUGUAAGUCUUCAUUGUUUUAACACCAACUUUCGGUUCCUCCGGGAAAAAAACAUAUAUCUGGAUCACAACAUCCAAACAUAAGUGAACAAAUAAAAAACAACACAUAGGCAUAAUAAAGCAUUUCAAAGUACAUGAUUUGCACUAACAAAAUCACAUUACGUCACUUGGUUUGACAGUAUGAUAGAGAUAAGUGGCAAAAAUCCACUAAGGUUUAUAGAAGGCGUGGGAAGGCAACUACGAGGUGCACCAUACAAAUGCAAGAAUAAACUGAAAUUGAACCAUAACAAUGCAACAAUAAACUGGAAGCAAAAAAAAGGAACUUAAUUUACUGAAUAAACUAACCCCUGACCAAGAAGAACCCUAAUUAUAGAACAUAUCAGCCAGCCUCCGGUCAAAAAAUACAACAACUAUUGAAAAUGAAAAUUUUCCUUGAAUGAACUAAACUAAACCCAUUCAAAAAAAAAAAAAAAAAAACCUGAUCAGAGCUGUCAUUGCGCUUGGAUUUGUUAAUGACAAGGUCUUCUCUUUUCAUAUUUUCUCCAUAUUUUUGUAUAAAUUCCCUUUUCUCCAUCUGUAUCUCCUUAUCUGUCACAAAAUAACCCCUGUCCUGAAGCAUUUCCAUCACCGUCUUUCUGAUUCUGUGCAAUCUGGCGACUUCUUCAUCCGACAGCGUCAUCUUUCCUGUUACUCUUCAAUCAAUUAACCAAACAACCUAAAAAAUUCAGAAAGGAAAACGAACCCAAGAAAAGAAACCCUUUCAAGCAUGUAUUAAACAAUUAUCUGAAGAAUUAAAUUUCGGAAAUUCAAGAUAAUUGUUUGGCAAUAUUCUUUGGCAAAUCUGGAAAAGCAGAAAUUGAAUGUGUUUGAUAUUUAGUGGAAGGAGGAUCUGAAAAACAACAAGAAACUUACUCGGUCCGGAUUUGGUUGAUUGAAGAGUGUGUUUGACCCGUGAGUGGGAGGAGGCGGCGUGCAUCGCGACUGCCGUGGGGAGGAAUUUGUGAUUAUUGCGCGAGCGCGGGGUCGCCGCCGGUGAUAAGCGGCCGGUCUCAGUGCAUGUCAGGCCUCGCGUAGGGUUAUGCGGUAAGGCGUCUGUGGAAAUUACAAGAAGCUAUACGCCAAAAAGAGGGGGGGGGGGGGUUACAAAUUCAAUAAUUCGUUAGCUGAAUUCGUUGAAUUCGAUUAGCCGAAUUCGUCAUUUGACUUAUAGAAAUUUAAAUCGCUUUUAAUUUCGAAUUGGUUAUAAUCGAAUUCAUUUCGCAAUCGAAUUCAAAUUCGAAAAUGGUAACUGAAUUCAUUUAUAAAAAAAAAAUAAAAAUUGGGGCUCCUAAAUGAUAAGUGAUAACCUCAUAACGUGAAUUUUUCCAAAUUCACCUGAACUGAAGGAAGUGAUUGUGUAAUUUUUAAUUUAUAAAUUGGGGCUCCUAAAUUAUAAUACAUUCAUUAUGCUCCUCAAUGAUUUAAAAUAAUUACUGAUUUGAUCCCCAAAUUUAUUCAUAAUUUAACACAUUAUUUAUGUUCUAAUCAUUUUGUAGUUUAAUUGGCAUUUAUUGAUCACUUAUACCUAGAAUCCUUAGUCUAUGAUUUAAGGAACACAUGAAAAGUGAUUAAUUUAAACUAGAAUAAACUUUAGACAUAAAAAGUGAUUAAUUUAAACUAGAAUAAACUUUAGAUUGUACAAUGAUUAGUGAUAAUUUAUGAAUUUAUGAAUUUAUAAUGAUUAAUAAUAAGCAAUAUUAGUCACAAACUUGCAAAUUACAAUGAUAAGUUAUAAGUUAUAUUAGUUACAAACUUAUAAUUUAUUUCAAAUCAAAAUAAAACUUAUUUACUUACAUAUGUUAUUGUGAAAAUCAAUACACUAAUACAUUGAUUUGCAAUUCAUAUGCAUUCACUUACAUUGCUUAGUUGUCUUGUCUAUACUUAAAGCCUUAAGAUUAGUGAAUAGAGAAUAUGAAUUUUUAUGUUAAAUAUGUAAUGUAAAUUUAGAGCACAUUAAUACUUGCAAGUUACAGGUUACGCAUUCAAAUAUUCAAUAAUUCAAACAUGAAUGAUGUAUCAAAUUACCAAUAUCUAAAUUCUAAUUACUAUUAUGUUUAUUGUUUAAUAUUUAGUAUUAUACAUAUAUGUAUUAAUUAUUAUCUAAUUCUAGUCAUGUUACUCAUGUAUAAAAUAAUAAGUAUUAUAGUUAUGUUAUAUUGUUAUGUAUUACUAUAUAUUUGUGUUAUUAUAGUGAUAUAAUAAUUAACAAAUACUAAAAUAAUAUAUUGUACAUUAUUAUAUAUUAUUAUUAUCACAAGUGUAUGAUAAUACCAUAUACUAACUAUUAUUAAUAGCAUUUACCUAUAUAAUAUAAUAUAAUAAUAUAUUAGUAGUAUAUACUAAUACUAAAUAGCAUUUAUCUAUAUAUUAUAUAAUUUUAUAAACUAAUUUGGUAUUCGAAUGCGAUAAUGCAGUACCUUAUUUCAUUUUACCGAAUUUGAAUGCGAAAUCGGUUAUUACCAAAUUCAUAAUCUCAUUACCUAUUUCAUACCAUAUUAGAAUUCGGUGAAUUCGGUACGUACCGAAUUUGUAUCGAAUUACCAAAUACCCGAUUUCAAAUUACCAAAUUGAAUUUGAAUUCGGUAUGCACCAAAUUUGCUUACCCCUACUGAUCAGAUACCCUGAAAUUUCAUAGAUUUGUUGAUUGGGGUGAAAAUGAUAAUUACUUUUCAUAGUUACAAGCUUUGAUUAGUUCUUCCUACUGUAAUAAUUUUCAAUUUUUCAUACUCUAUUUUUUUGUUGGAGUUUGUGUUCUACAAAAGACUUCUUAUUAUUUCCUUCUGUUAUUUUGUUUUUCUUGCUUUUUUAAACUAAUUUUCUUUGUCUUUUCUUAAAAUCUGUUUCCUAAAUUAUUACCCUUUAAAUAAAAUUCCUCACCCACAACCUUGUUUUAGUUGAUUAAUGUAUUACAAUCCCACAAAAAAUAGGGACAAUUCCUACCCAAGUAAAGAUCUUUUCAGUCACUACCUUUGUUAAUACUAUUAUAUCUGAAUUAUUACUUAUUAUUUAUUGGCAUAUUCAAAUAUUUUAUAGUCUCUUUUUCCCCUGGUUAUCCCAAGUAUGGGUACUUUUGGACAUAAGAUUGACUUAGAGGCCUUUAAGAAUUAAUUUGUUAUUUCAGUAUAAUAGUAUUGAAACAUAAGUAGAAGAAACUUUAAACAAGUUUUUUAUGUUGGAUUAUAAUAAAUUAAUGCAACAUAAAAUCAUAGAUAUCAGGAUGAGGCAAAUUGAUGAAGAAAAUUUACAUCAACUAAAAUACUUACUUGGUUGAUGGACUUUUAUAUAAUGAUUGGAUUGAUGAACUUUGUACAAUGGUUAAAGAUUUGGAAUAUGCUAAUUGAUGGUUCUAAUAUGAAACAAAAAGAAGGAACAAGAAAAUAAAUUUCUAGUUAAUAAUAAAGUGGUUUGGAUUAUUGUUUGGAAUCUAUUCUUGUAAUUGUCGUUUUCAGAGUGCAUGCUUGAAUUUGGAGGCAGACGCGAGUUUUUCUUUCUCUGCAGGACUUAUUCAUUUCUACUGCAUAUUCCUUCAUCUCUGCCAAUAUUCUUUGGCAAAUCUGGAAAAGCAGAAAUGAGAAAGAAUUCAAUAGGAAAUAGCAACUCUCAAUGAUAACAAUUCAGAAAGCUCAGGAGGAGUGGCUGGAAUUCAAGCAAGCCACAGAAAAGACACUAAGAAUGAGUACAGAAGAAACAGGAACUCAGGAGACAUUCUUACAGCAACAUGAAGAGAAUGAAGACUCAAUGAGACUGAGGCUGGCUAUAAAAAAGCUGAAGGACAAUCCCCAAAUAGGAAUAGGGAUCACAGUUUCUGUAAACAGCCAAGAACUGUGAGAACUUGAAAAAUAAAAUAAAAUAAAAUAAUAGUAAAUAAAUAUAUAUUUACAUAUAUUCAUACUUGUUGCUUGUACAUUUUAGACUUUGAAUAAAUUUUAUUAUUGUUGGUUCUUAGAUAAGUGUGAAAAAAUAAGUUUAAAGUCGCAAAUAAGUUAAUUGUGCAAAAUAUUGAAUUAUUUGAAUUCUUGCCAAGUUAAGUUACUACUUCUUGAUGUGGGUUAUUUUAUUUCUUUGGUUUUGAUUCUUUGAAUGUCGAUAGCUAAUUUUAAGUGUUAUUAAUGUUAAGUAUCAACGGGGACCUAGAAUUAAAAAGAAAACGUUUUAGGUUAAAACCUUUAUAAUUAUUCUCAGGACGACGAAAUCUCGAUAGUUGAAUUUUUUGCGACACUAGUAUGUUAGUGGGCUAUCAAAUUUCUUUUAGGAUGAAAUCUUGGAGUUAGUUUAUGAAUGAGAGCUUAAGUGGAAAUUCGGCUGAAAUGUGAAAGACCAAAUUGGCCCUCCACCAUCUCGGAUUUACCAUGCAACCACCAAAGCUUCAUUGGCCAACUUUAAAACACAAACAUUUUCAUCUCUGCCGGAUUGCAUUUCAUUCUCCACUCACACACUUCAUCUCCUUCAUCCGCGAUUUAUCUCUCCAUUUCAGUAACUCCAACACCCCACAACACCAUUUCAUUUCACUCCAUUCCUUGCCUUGGUAUCAUCGACGAGAGGAAACCAGAGAGAGCUGUGCUAGUUGCGAACCUUGAACUGUCCGAGAGAGGGUGAGAGCAAGAGAUAACCGUGCGAGCUUCAUUACUUCCUCCAUCACCACUGAGAGCUGCUAUUUCAUUCUUCACCCUCAACCAGCCGUGCCCAAUUCAGAGAGGAGAGGAAAAAAAAACAAAUUUCAGCUUUCUGGUCGCGUGAGUGAGCUUCAUUUGAGGUAAUUUCUGAACUGAAAUUAGCUGAUUAUAGGCAUAUGAGGUUAGCUAUGGACUUGCAUGUGAUGCUUGUGCGUCCGGAUGUUGAAUUGUAGCAUAGGAAAAUCUGAUGUGAAGGAAAAAUGGGUUGGCCGAGAGAUUUAAUUGGAUAAUGCAGCUGAAAUUUGUUCGAUCGUGAUAAUCUGAGCCUAGAUAGGUGAUUAGCUAACUAGAAACUAGAUGAUUAUGCUAUGCAUGAGGUUAAUCAGUUCGGAUUAAGCAAGGAAAAAAAAUGAAACAAAAAUCUGCUGCAUGCAAGUCACCCGGAAAUAGUUGAACAUUUGAUUAGUUUUCUUCGAAUCUGUAGCUGAGAUUUUCAUAUUGGGUGUUUAAGAUUUGCUUGUAGCUUGCUAAUCACCUUUCGCAUGUUGAGUUGGAGUAAAAAUUGAAGGGAUAUAAAAUCUGUUUACAUGCAAGUCAACCGAGAGGAUUGGAUGAAUUUCUGGUUGGGUGGUGACUUUUGAUGACUUCCGAACUUGGUUUUGGAUUAAAUCUGAUAGAUAGCUGUUCAUUUAGUUAUACAUGUAGCUGAUUUACGGGCUGCAUGUUGGGUUUUAGCCUUGAAUAAUAAUAUUUGGCUGAAGGGAAUUUUGAUAAGAAAAAAUAUGGGAGCUGGACCAAAGAUGAAGAACCGAGAGUUUACCUGUUUGUCUAGCAGCUUGUGAUUCCAGUAAAAUGGAAAUUUAUGUUUGGUAAUGCAUGUAAUUUGUUAGCUUUAUGUGUUAAGUGAAGUUUGGUUGAAGAAACUAAGGGAAAAGUUGGAAUUUUGGGUGAGACCGUGGGAGGAGUUUUGCUGGAAUUUUUCUUGACUAUCGAAACAAGAAAAGAAAAUAUGAAUUUCUAGAGUUAUUUGUGUGUAAGCUAGCCGUGACUUUCUUUUAUGUUUGAGUUAAAUUUUUGGAUGAUUACUGUAAGGAAUGAUUGGUUGUUGUCAAGAGCUAAUGAUUGAUGAAACUCUUGGCUAUUUGAGUAAUUUUUGCAAGAGUUUAAUUUUGGUGAAUUUGUUCAAGAAGUUGGCUGAAAUGUACUUGGAAGGUCCAUGGUUUGUGAUUUGAGAUUAUUUUGAUACCUUGGACUUCCUUUGUUGAAUUUUGUUUGGAAUUGAAUCUGUUGAGACCUAGGGCUAAUGAUUGAUGAAGCCCUAGUAAAAUUGAUGUUUGGUUUGUGAUUUUUCUAUAUUGGUGACUUGGAAUUCAAAGUGCAAAUGAGUGGAAUCGUGAAGUCCGUUUUGGUCUUUUGAAUUAGAGUACUUUUAAGUCAAGCUUUAUGAAAAUAUUUUGUCUUAAUAUCAAGUUAUAUAAAUGGAGUAUAGUACGUUAAUAUUAAAAUUUAAAUGUCGGGACUUUUAAAACCUUGCUAACUAGUUAAUUCUUUUCUUUGCUUAAAUUAGUUUUAUUACCUUUAAGAAAUAAUUGCAUUAACUUCCAAACUUUAAGUUUUAUAAAAAAUUAUCCUUGGCUAGUUAUUUUAAAGGAAAAUUUGUUAAAAACUCUAGAUUUGAACAAUUUCAAAUAAAAGGGCAUAGAAAACUCGUUUGAAUUAGUUUGGUUCUAGUUUGCCCUCUAGAAAAAAAAAAAGUAGCUUUAAAGAAACCAUACGAAAUAUCUUAUCACUUGUACUAGCUUUAAUUCUAAGAGAUUUAUUGAUUUAUUUCGAGUAAAUAAAUUAGUUUUAUACCAGAUAGUCUUUUAUAUAUAAACCAAAGGUUUGUUUAGUAAAAUUUAUAGUUUUUAAAACUUGGAUUUCUAGGGUUUAGCGAGGACGUGGACUUCGAUUCCCAGCUUGACUUGUGAGCUUCACUUUUGGUGAGUGUCUAUGCUUGUUCUAUGACUAAUUUGUUAAAGUGCUUUCUUGAUUCGUUAUGUGAUAGUUGGAAAGUGAUUUUCCUGAUCCAUCGAAGUGGGUAGUGUGUACUUUAUCGCACUAGCCCUUUCGAGUGGUGACUUGCUUGAAACGUUUUCUCGAAUGUCUCGCUUGUACUUGCUAUGUAUUGAGUAGGGAAAUGUACCACACCUUAGGGUGGGAGGGCCUCUUAUCCUAUCUCAAGUACUAAAACCUUGCAAUUGUUGACUGGAGCGUAGACUCAUCAACUAAUCCACUGGGCAGGGGAAUGUACCACACCUUAGGGUGAGAGGGCCUCUUAUCCUGACCUGGUAACCACUUGUUGUGACGUCAUUGGGUGAAUCUCUCGAUUAGUUUAUAAAAAGGUAUACUCGAGUAAUACCAAACUCUCUUAUGAGGUGUGCGGGCCCGGUGUGGGAAUAAGUUGGUUGGAGCGUGUUAAGAAAAAAAAAUAAUGAAUCUACAUGGACUUUAGAUAGUGAAAGUUGACGGAGGGUCAACUGCAGUUAAUUUUGAUCAAGCUAGUGGAAAAAUGGCUCCUGAGAGCCCCUGUAUCCUACCCUGUGCUGUUAUACGCUUUCCUACUUGUUGAAUUUAAGUUUGGAGUUAUUAUUUGCUAUUUGUUUUAUAUAAUUGUAUGUUUGGGGCACCACUGAGAUUUAGCUCACCCCACGAUAUUUGUUUUUCUUUAACAGGUUUUGGCAUUCGAGAGAUUUAAAGUCUGCUUUUAGCUUUUGUAAAUGUUAUUUUGAACCGGACUAUGUAUCUUUUAUUUUGGAUUGCCACUUGAAGCUGGAAAAGUGCAAACCCCUGAGUUUUGCUUGUAUGAAUGUGUUUAAAUUUUAUGAUUUCACUAUAUGGUUUGUAAUGUAUAAAGGUAGUUAUGUGUUACGCUGGUUGGAGUUGUAUCUUAAGAGUGAAUGUUCAGAUGCCGUUGGCAAUGUUAUCUCUAAAGGUAAUGUGUUAUCAGUUGUCUGGUCGAUUAAAGGUUUGGAUUGUCCGGGUGAUGAGUUUUGUUUUGGUUUAAGUCAUUCGUGAAAGGGGUUUAAUCAGUUUUCCUUGCGUGAGUCCUGCGAGAGUUGGGCAGGCGACCCGCCAACCCUCUAGUUCACCUUAGGGAGAAGUGGGGCCGCCACAAGAACAUGUUCGAGGUUGGGCACUGCAUAAGAGAAGCACAGGAAACCAGCUCAUUGAUGAACUAGCAGCUGUCAAACUCCUAAUGAGCAAAGCUGUAGUGCAGGAGUGGGGGAAAAUUGAGGUUCAACUCGAUAACAAACAAAUGUUCAAUCUCAUACUGCAUAGCAAAACUCAGGAUAUACGUUUGGCAACUUUGCUGGAGGAUAUCUAUAAUUUGAAGUCUAUGUUUUGCAUGUGCUCCUUUUGUUUAGUUAGUAAAGAUCAUAAUCAUGUUAGUGAUAGGAUUAGCGCUUAUGCGUUAAGCAUCGUUCAAGAUGAGGAACUUUGGUUUUCUUAGUGUCAUAGUGCACUGGUUGUAUAGUGUUUAUCGAGCCUUUGUUUGAUCUUAUAAAGUUUAAGUUAAUCUAUAAAAUCACUUAUCAUUUCGGGAGAAAAAAAAAAGAAAAAAUCAAUUGACUAAAUUCAAAAGUCUGCAACAUGUAUUCUCAAAUUCAGGCUACUUCCCAUAACAAAAGACUGAAAAAAAUAACAAAAUUAGUUGUAUAAGCAGAAUUAUACUAAGCAGGAUGUGUGUAUUUUUACCCCUUACUAGCAUAUAAUUAAACCAACAAUCUCUACUUUUACCACUAAGCUUCUUACCAAAAGGUACAUAGCUUACGCAAGGCUAAACACCAUUGACGCUAAUUAAGUAAAACCAAAUCCUAUCACUAAAAUAGUCUUAACAAAAUUGAAAAUACUCGCAUGGUAAGAUCAAAUCAAGUGAAAAUGAGCUGGAUGUCGCAUAGUCACCUAAAAAAAUUCAGAAUUUCAAGAAUUCCAUCUGAAAAUUAGCGAUUUCGUGCUUCUUUACAGUAUAUGCCUCGUAAUGGAACCCUAAUUUUGCAGAAAACUACAGGAUAGCUGCAGAUCGAUACCAGUAAAAAACAACAAAAUACUUACUCGAUUGGGUUAAUUGAAUGUGUUUUAUAUUUAGUGGGAGGAGGAUGUGAAAAACAACAAGAUACUUACUCGGUUUGGAUUCGGUUUAUUGAAGAGUGUGUUUGACCUUGAGUAGGAGGAGGCUGGUGCAUGGGAGAGGAAUUUGUGAUAUUGCUGCCUUAGUGCAUCAGGUGCAUAGGGUUAUGCGGUAAGGCGUCUGUGUGUGCUGUUUGGCUGUGGAAAUUACAAGUAGCUAUAUGUCAAAAAGGUGUAAUUACCCUGAAAUUUCACGGAUUUGUUGAUAGGGGUGAAAACGAUAAUUACUUUUCACAGUUACUGGCUUUGAUUAGUUCUUCAUACUGUAAUAAUUUUCAAUUUUUCAUACUCUAUUUUUUUGUUGGAGUUUGUGUUCUACAAAAGACUUCUUAUUAUUUCCUUUUGUUAUUUUGUUUUUCUUGCUUUUUAAAACUAAUUUUCUUUGUCUUUUCUUAAAAUUUGUUUCCUAAAUUAUUACCCUUUAAAUAAAAUUCCUCACCUACAACCUUGUUUUAGUUGAUUAAUGUAUUACAAUCCAACAAAAAGUAGGGACAAUUCCUACCCAAGUAAAGAUCUUUUCAAUCACUACCUUUGUUAAUACUAUUAUAUCUGAAUUAUUACUUAUUAUUUAUCGGCAUAUUCAAAUAUUUUAUAGUUUCUUUUUCCCCUGAUUAUCCCAAGUAUGGGUACUUUUGGACAUAAGAUUGACUUAGAGGCCUUUAAGAAUUAAUUUGUAAUUUCAGUAUAAUAGUAUUGAAACAUAAGUAGAAGAAACUUUAAACAAGUUUUUUAUGUUGGAUUAUAAUAAAUUAAUGCAACAUAAAAUCAUAGAUAUCAGGAUGAGGCAAAUUGAUGAAGAAAAUUUACAUCAACUAAAAUACUUACUUGGUUGAUGGACUUUUAUAUAAUGAUUGGAUUGAUAAACUUUGUACAAGGGCUAAAGAUUUGGAAUAUGCUAAUUGAUGGUUCUAAUAUGAAACAAAAAAAAGGAACAAGAAAAUAAAUUUCUAGUUAAUAAUCCAAAAGUGGUUUGGAUUAUUGUCUGGAGUCUAUUCUUGUAAUUGCCGUUUUCACAGUGCAUGCUUGAAUUUAGAGACAGACGUGAGUUUUUCUUUCUCUGCAGGACUUAUUCAUUUCUACUGCAUAUUCCUUCAUCUCUGCCACAGAUUCCUCCUUUUAUAGUUGUUUGGAUUAUUGCUACUACAGUGUUUUCUUGAUGGGCAUCAAAACUGUUAAUUGUUCUCGAUUCAUCUUGAUAGAUAUCCGAUACUUUUAGUUGUGGGUUGAUUCAUUUUGAAUUCUUGAUAGAACUUGGCAGUUGGCAUAGUAUCCAAUGAAAGUGCUUCAAAGCUAUUGGCAUUUGGCAUAGUAUCCGAUGAAAGUGUUUCAAAGCUAUUGGUGCGGUGGCUUGAUAUUACAUCUUGUUUUGGCCGUCCCGUUGAUUGUGACCUGUUUUCCAUUUGUCUUGGCUGACAAAGUGAUUGACCAUCUUAUAUUCUAAUAAUUGAUUGGUUAAUUAUUUUAGUCUCUUUUUUUAAUAUUCUAACAUAUUUUUUAGAUUAUGCAUUCCUUCAUCAUCCAUGGUGUUUUUUAAUCCUUCGUCUCCAUCAUCUUCUUUAUUUAUGUACAGAUCUUGGAUUUCCUGACAAAUUUUCCUUAUGUGUAAUUCCACUAAUUCUUUUAACUAUGUUAUGAUGCGGCUUAGGUUUUUAAGUUAUAAAGUCCUAAUUAUCAAUUCAAUUAGACCCAAUUACCUUGAUUUUUCACAAGUAUACGGUCAAACGAGUAUAGUGAUAAUUAUGAUCGAUCCCAUAAGGAAGAUUGUCAACUAUCGAUGGUUUUCAAACUCCUUUAUUAUUUAGACCAUCACAAGUAAAGCAAUUAAAUCUAUACUUUUAAUAUAAAAUAGUAAAAACAAUAACAAAGAGGCUCUUAGGGUUGUGGAUUUACUAACUAUUCUUGUAAAUGAAAUUACCAAUUAAAUGAGUUCAUCUACCUUGGUAAGUUAUGGCGUAAUUUUCAAAUGUACGCAAUGUAUGCUUUCGCAAGUAUACGAACCAUACCUAUAACUACUUAACACUUAUUAACGUGACAUGAAACUACUUAUAGAUUCAUUAAAUUCUAUGAAAUUACAUAGAACAAACCACGAAGGUUACAAAGGUGUAACCUUACAUUAGUGAGUUAACUCCCUAGUUUAGCACCUCCAUGAGCUAUUAGUGUUAAGUCACAAUGGUCGUUGAUGAAAUAACACCUUUAGAUAAUCACAAUUAAUAGUACCGAAUUAAUCAUGAUUGUAAUAAGAAAAGUGCAAAAUAACAUGCCCAAGAAUCAUAGAAGUUCAUCCUUCCCUACGUUUAAAAACUAGCAAGACACAGGAAGCACAAAUAGAACCAAACUUGUAUUUUCACUAAACAUGAAAUCAAUAAAAGAAAUAAAGUUAUAGAAGAGAUGUCACCAAUGUCACUUGAGUUCCAAUCUACUCUCUUGUUUAGCCAGAUACAAAGAUUGAAUAGCUACACUAAUCUAUUUAACUAAAAUAAUGAACUAAAAAAACUUAGUGAAGACUAAAUUUUUGUGAUAAUCCUAGCCUUCUAAAGUUAUCAAACAAGGUCAACGAAGUCCCUAUUUAUAGAGAAUUAAAGGUCCAAGCAAUCAUGUUUCAAGUUGGCAAUUUGUGUCUUGAAAUCACCAAAAGGUGUUUCUUGAAAACUUUAUGCUUUCUUAUGCAUAUCUAGUCGAAAUUCUUGCAGAAAAAUUGGUUAAAAACUUCCGUGAAAUGUCUAUGACAGGUCGUCAGCCUGUGCAAUAAUAAAAACCUGCUCAGCUAAAGUUAAUUUCUGUAGAUAGUGGUAAGCAGGGUCGAAUCCACAGGGACUGGGCGUAAUUAUUUCUUUUCAAGUUCACAGUGAUAAGGGGGUGUUUUUGUGCAGAAUGUGACAAUAAAAGAAAUUCAACUAAAAUCUAAAAAGCUACUAAAAAUUAAAUAACAAAUUACUAAAAUCAAAUGAGUGAUAAUUAAGGAUCUAGCCAAGGAAUAACUUCAGCAAUGGUGCACCUAAUUGAUCAUCGAAGCAAAGGCAAUCCCAAUUAUUUAUCAAUAAAUAGGUUAUAACUACCAAACAAGCGAUGGCAGUCAACCCCUCCUUACUGUGUCGGUGAUCAAGGUACGCCCGUUAAUCACUGCUCUAAUUGAGAAAUAAUCUUAGGUACGCCCGUAGGAUUUAAUUCCCCAAUUGCCUUACGUAUUAGAGGAGCCCUAUUCUAACCAAAUAACGCACUACCAGGGUUAUUUUAGAUUAGCCUGCGUACUCCCCUGACACAAACCUAAUCAUGCUAGUUGCCACUAUUUUAGAGCAAUUAAACAAUUACGGAUUUAAUGCCCUAAUUGACAAUAGAUUACCCAAUCAACUAAUUAUCCGGAUCCAAGACAAUCAAUUAAUUAAACAACCAUAAACAUAGCAACCAAGAAAUAUGCGGAUACCACUAAAUAAAAGGAAAAGAUUAAAUUAAAACGAUCUCAUAAUUUUAGGCGACCCAAAGCAUCCGUUGCUCCUUGACUAGAAUGGUGAAAUUAGUUCAUAAUUGAUGCACGAAACCCACCGAAAAUUGAAGAAAGAACUGCAGCCAUCAAGGGUGAUAAAUUCACUUCGUUCAAAUUACCAAUGAAAAACAAGCUACAAGAAGUAAAUUCUGGCCUCCACUUUGCCUACACAUACGGAGGAAGAGAAAGCCACUAAGUGCUGAAGAGUAGAAAAGUCAAAGGAACCACUCCUAAGUGCUAUGCGCAGGAGGAAUCCACUAGGAAUCAAAAGGGAAAGUCCAAAGAAAAGCUAAGCUAAAGGUCCUAAUUAUGAAGAAGGAAAAGCUACUGAAGAAACAAAAGAAAAGUCAAAGCUAAAGAAACAAUCCAGUCGUCCGUCCUCUCUGCUGCGCAAUUCCUAUUCUAAUGGUCUUCCCUUGUGCGGCGGCUCUCUCCCGAGAGGGAGAAGAAGAAGACACCUGACUUCAGCCCUUCGUUCCUCCUUUUAAUGCUUUUGUCUUCGGCAAUUACUAAAAUGGGCACAAGUUUGCCUUUGCCAACAAUGCCCCCGAGAUAAGCUCUGUGCCUUAGACUCCUUUUCUGUCAAAUUGACACUUAUUAUCAUAUUUUCGUUCUACUCCCCUGAAAUAUAUGCCAAACACUAAAAAUGAGUAGAAUCCAGCAAUUAAUCCACAUCAGGUCAGGUAAUAGGGAAAAUUAAUAAUAAAAUAAAUGAUAAAAUUACACCCUAUCAGUCUAUGACUUGCUCUACAAAUUGCAGAGCCGAAUUCAGGAUCCGCUAGUUUAACCUCGUGGAUCUUGUCAUUUUGCAAUUUUGCUCAAUCUUCAAUAUUGCUCUGCUAGAGUGAGUUCAAGUACAAUUGAUUUUAGUCAAUUACUUGAAUUUCUACAAAAAAAAUCAUAUAAAUUGCACAUUAAAUUGCUCAAAUAAGUUGAGAUUCUCUCCCUGAUGGGCUUUAGCCUCCCCCUCCCUCUCUUUUGAGCUUCGAAUUUUAGGGUUGUUGCACCCAUGGCCGUAAUGGUAGCCCUUCAGCCACGAGCUGGAAGGCUUGCAUCCCCAUCAAAAAAUUCAUUCACUAAUAUUCUCCAACAGUACCCUCGGCUAACAUUAGCAACAAAUCCCGCGAACGGCUGCUCUUUCACUUCGAACUAGCCUACGAUUAUGAGGAAUGCUACUACCUAUAAGGGUAAGCCUAUCAUUUUCUUUUUAGAAGAAGAUGUUCAAGCAUUGUCUAGUCCCUUUAGAUAUGUGCUAAUAGGGAAAUUUUCCAAUGGAAGGUGAAAUAUGGAGUCGUUGCGAAAGGAAUUUAAGGCCAUCGGAUUCAAGGGUGAUCACUUCAUUGGCUUACUUGAUUCUUGGCAUAUUUUAAUAUGGUUUGACUGUGAAGAGGAUUACCUCCACUACUAGUUGUGUGGAGUAUGGAUGUUCCAUGGGUUCUCAAUGUGGGUUUUCAAGUGGACUCUUUCCUUCUCUGUUGAUACUGAAUCGCCAAUAGUCCCAAUCUAAGUUUCGCUGCCACACUUGCCCGUGCACUUCUUUAGCAAAUGGUUGCACCUCUCAAUUGCCCGACUUAUUGGGGAACCCCUAAAGGUCGGUGUGUCAACAACGUCUCUAACCAGACCAGGGUAGCAAGGUUUUGUGUCGAAGUUAACCUUCAGUAGAAGCUACCUGACAAAGUUUGGAUUGGUAAUGGACAAGCUAGGUUUUGGCAACAUAUUAAGUAUGAAAAUCUCCCAGACUUCUGUUUGUUUUGCCAUAAGCUAGGCCACAAAGAGGCCAAUUGCGGUCAUGAUCCGGGCAAUCCCCAAGAGUAGGCACAGUGUGAUGCAACAGUUCAGAGACUUGAAAAAUAGAAGAUUUAGAUACCAAAAUCUCAAAUUAAUCAACAAGGGUCUAAGUCGGGUACUUCAGGACUUCUGAAUCACCAGGAAAUUACAGAUCAAGUGCUACUGAAUGAGAAUGCGAAGGGAGCUUUAAAUAUUAACCAUGCAAGUAUAUUGGUACCGUAAACCAGAAUGGUUUCUGUUAUGCAGGACACGGAAAAUCAAGAGCUGGGUCUCACCAAUGACGAAUUUAAUAUAUCAGGCCCGGAGAAUCAGAGGCGUGUUAAUGGAAGUCAGGAUUGUGGGCAGAUUGGGAGUUUGAUUAUUUUAGAAUCCAAUAAUCUGGCAAAAGGAAUUCUCGAUGACAAGCACCAUAUGCCGAAGCAACGAGGCCAAUUAGAAUCUCACACGGACACGAAUGAACCACAACCUGAUCACCCAAGCAGCUUUGUGAUGGAGGAUUUUUAUACGUUCAACAAGUAGAUUGAUCACUUUUUUCCUAUCCCACAUAAUGAUGCCACUGCUAAGCAAUGUAGGAAGUGGAGAUUUCUAAAUUUGCCUAAGACAGUUGUCACUAGACAGUCUAUGAAGGCAAUUUCCUCUAGUUCUUUUCCUUCUAUUUCCAGUGAUUAAUACAUUCAUAUGGAACAUAAGGGGAGUGGCUAGAAGAGCUUCGGUCAGGCGAUUGAAGAAGUUAAUACGAAUGCAUUCAAUCUCGUUCCGAGUAAUUUUAGAAUCGAUGCUAGAUUCUUCUCAACUUGAUGCAGUUAGAAUAAAAUUUGAAUUUCACCUUACUGUUUGUAAUGUUGUUAAUAAAAUCUGGAUUUUAUGGAAGCCGGAAUUUGCAGUUAAUGUCUUAGCUAAUUCGGAGCAAUUCAUUCACUUUGCUGUCACACAUGUGUCAUGAAGUAAUGAGAUUUGCUAUUCUUUUGUUUAUGCUAAAUGCACACUAGCUGAAAGGAGAAAUCUAUGGGCUGAUUUGGUAUGAAUCUUAGGGAAUCUAACGUCGAAGCCAUGGACUGUGGGGGCAAUUUUAAUGUGUUCAUGACAUCUGACGAAUAUUUAGGCCGUGCUUCACAAGAUUUAGCAGUUAUUAAUGAUUUGCUAAUUGCAUCACCAGAUGUGGAAUGAAGACAAUGCUAUCAAUGGGUGUUGGUUUACUUAGACUAGUAUUCACCAAGGCUGGUGUGUAUGGAAGCGCUUAGAUCAAAUCCUGAUAAAUAUAACAUGACAGCAGUUAUUUCCCAACUUGGUAGUCCAGCAUCUGAACAAGGUCGGCUCGGAUCAUAGUCCUCUGUUAAUGCAGUUUGCCAUUGAUAGAGGCACCGGGGCAUAGGCCUUCAAGUUCCAGCAUACGUGGGUGAAACAUUCUGAUUUUAAGGAAGUGGUGCGACAAAGUUGGAUGCAGCCACUUCAAGCUUACGGGAUGUUUCAUUUCAUGCAAAAGCAAAAGAGAUUGAAGAGAACUCUAAGUGAGUGGAACAAACAAGAGUUCAAAAAUAUUUUUGAAAACAUCGCAAAAGCCGAAGAAGAAAUCCGACAAAAGGAAAUAUAGUUCGAAGAGGAUGAUAACGUGGAAAAUAGGAUGCAAUGGAGUCAAGCGAAGGCCUCUCUACUAAAGUGUUUAGUUGAAAGUAGAAGGUUUGGGUAAAAUGGCUGAAAGAAGGAGACUCCAACACAAGGUUCUUUCACUCAAUGCUUUUAGAUAAAAAAGCAAAGCUUUCUAUUCAUAAGAUCAAAAUUCCCAAGGGUAUUACACGGAUAACGAGCACGACAUUGGAGUUGAGGUUGUCAAUUUUUCCGUGAUCUAUUGUCCACUACAUCAACCGUGAAUGAGCAAUCUAUUUCAACCUUAUUAGCAAACAUUCCACCCCUUGUAUCCAAGCAAUAGAAUGGCUAUCUUUUGAGGGAACUCUCCCAAGCGGAGGUUAAAACGUGAUUUUUAGCUUGAUGAGCAAAGUGCAGUAGGAAUGGAUGGAUUUACUGGAUAUUUCUUCACACAAUGCUGGGCAAUUAUUGGGAAGGAUGUCUAUUAGGCAGCACAUGAAUUCAUGUGUGGAGUGCCUAUACUAAAGAGUAUCACUAGUACUCUUAUAGUUUUAAUACCAAAGAAAGACUCACCAUCGGCUUUUUCAAAUUUUCGACCGAUAAGUCUAUGUACCUUUAUUAAUAAAGUUUCCUCCAAUAUCCUUUGCAACAAGUUAAAGACUGUAUUGCCUUUAAUUAUCUCUUGAGAACAAUCAGCCUUCGUUCGGGGUCAUGAGAUCUCGAAUAUACAUUGCUAGCACAAGAAUUGGUGGACGCAAUUGAUAAAAAUGCAGGGGCAUAAUAUCAUCUUCAAGCUUGACAUAAUGAAGGCAUUUGAUCAUGUAUCAUGAAAUUUCCUAUCUAGGCUACUUCUUAUAUUUGGUUUUCAUUCUCGAUUUAUGAAUUUGGUUAUGAACAAUUUAAACUUGUCUUGGGUUUCAAUUCUUGUUAAUGGGAAGCCAAAUGGGUUCUUCUAGUCUACUCGAGGUUUAAAACAAGGAGAUCCUUUAUCUUCAUUCCUUUUUAUCUUGGUGGCAGAGACCCUUAGUCAAGGGUUGAUCAAUCUAGUUUAAUCGGGGAAAUUUCAAUCUUAUACUCAGUUGAGAGGUGCCUUACAAGUGUCUUAUCUGGCCUUUGCAGAUGACAUAGUCAUUUUUACAAGAGCUGACCGGCAAUCGUUGAAAACCCUCAUGAAUUUCCUGGAGCUGUACCAAAAUGGAUCGGGAAAAAAGAUUAAUAAAGACAAGAGUUUUAUGCGAAUUUGAAAUGGUGCUCUACUACAAAGGAGCGGAUGAUAACUUGGUUGACGGGGAUUCGAAGUCAAAGGCUGCCCUUUGUGUAUUUAGGAAAUCGACUUUUUAAGGGGAGAUGCAAAAUGAGUAUUUCCAACAUUUGAUAGUUGUAGACACCAAAAUUUUAAUUUUAUUUAAUUCAAUUUUAGCUCUUUUUAUUAUUUAUUCUUGUUUUUAUUUUAUCUUAUUUUAGUUGAUUAAGUUUGCAAAAUGGUAGUUAGUGUUUAUUUAUUAAUGUUCAUCAUUUUUCUUUUUAAAGCAUUUUUGCAUUAAAUUUCUAAAAAAGAAAAUUCUCAACAAAAAUCUAUUUUUAAUCUUUUUCAAACUCAAUUUCUUCCAAAUAAAAUGACAUUUUUGUAAGGCAAUCUCAAUUAGGAAUUAACAUUUUAUUUAUCAUAAAUUAGUUUUGAAAAACAAAAAAUAAAAAGGAAAAGAAAAUAGGUGGAGGCCAUGCCCAAUAGCUAGGUGGAGUGCAUGCAAAUGAGCCAUGUGUCUUUGUUUUCUUUUGACACCACAACACUUGCUAGAUUAGGUGGCGAGGACAAGUGGAAGUCUAGGAAAAAUUUGGAAAAAAACAAAAGAGAAAAAGGAAGGCAAAGGAAAAAGAGGUGGAGCAACAAAGGAAAGAAGGAAGAAAAAAUCGAGAAGGAAAAAAAGGAAAGGAGAGGAGCCGUGGGGAAAAAGCAAGAAAAAGGAGAAACAAGCAAGAGGAUUGGAAGGGUUAGAAAGAGAGCAUCUGAGGAGAGUGAGAGAGGAAGGAGGAGACUGUGGAGAGCAAGAAACAAAAAAGAAAUAGAAAAAGGGAGAAAAGAGGGUUUCGGGGAAGAACAAGCAAGGGAGAGGAGGAGAAAAAAAAGAGAAAAGAAAGAAACCAGGAAAAGAAGAAUCUGGGGAAGAACAGAGGGCUUAGGACAAGAAAAAUAGAGGAAAAUGAGGGGGGAAGACCGAGUAAAAAAAAAAGGAAGAAAACUUGCUGAAAAAUUUUCUUCAUCAGGCUGAUGAACUAGCCUGUUUCGGGGCCAGAGUUCGCCUUCAAUUUUAGUUUUCUGUGGGAUAUUUUGGUUUCUGUACACUCCUGGGAGACAAUAGAAGAAAUUUUGUUCACAAAAUUCUGUGAGAAAAUAGCUCUAAGUGAGCCAAAUCGGGACCCAAAGUAUCGGAUUCAUCAUUGCUGAAGUUUUCUGUGACGAAUUUCUCAACUUCGUUUCUGGAAUCAGCGUGCGUUUCUGGGCAUAUCUCAUGAUGAUAACAUGAAGAUUUGCAUGGAUUCCUUUCAUUUUACAAGUCUUAACAUUCCAAUGAUGGUUGAUGAUACGAACUCGACCCAACAAGAACCUAUUUUGAAGAACUGAAUCGAUCAGGCAGCGGAAGGAUCUAUCUUGACCAGGUUAUGGAUACAAAGAUGGAGAAACCUUACGACCCCUCUAAUCCCCGUGACUACGAACUUGUUGAUAUUAUCUCAACCCGUAACCAAACGAAUUAGUGAACCUCAGGCAAGUGUAGAAGGCGCCACAAUUCAACAUGGUCUUGAAUUGAUAAGCCGAAACUUGAACAAAGGAGAUACAACUCACUUUGUAUCAAGGAACGCUCCCAAAGGAACAAAAAAGAGAAAACUCUCAAUUUUUAUUCAUCUCAUAAUUGUCUUUCAAUAGAUAAAUAAAGUUGGCUAUUUAUAGCCUUGCAAGACUCAAAACCCUAAUCUAAAUUGGAAACAAUACAAGUUUCCUUAUUUUCCUUAUUUGACUUGACUUCUAAACUUGACACAAUUUCCUAAACAAAUUUGGAAGCAAUUAACUACUUUCCUAAAACUCUAAUUCAACUAGAAUAGGAACUAACUAAUUCAAAUUGGCUUAACUAUGGUCAACAUGACCUUAGCCUUUAUUCCCUAAUUCAAACAACUUACUUAACUCUCAAUUUGGAAAUCAAUAAAGAUAUCAAUCAAGAUUUGGAAAUCAAUCAAGAUACGAAUCAAGAUUUGGAAGCCAAUUAAAAUUUGGACGAUUUGGAUCUUCAAUGAUUCUUGAGCCCGAUUGCACCAUCAACCAUCAUUGGAAUGUUAAGACUUGUAAAAUGAAAGGAAUCCAUGCAAAUCUUCAUGUUAUCAUCUCACGUUCAACUGACCACGAAAUCAUUCUCAGGUAAUGUUACCCCCUAUUUGUGUUGAUUUAACACAAUUUUUUUUGCAAAAAUCAGAGCCUAUCAUGCGUGAACUGUCAAAUUUCCUUUUUUUUUGCCGCUGGUUUGGUGAGCUUAUUCCAUGGCUUUAUCAUGUUUGUUUUUUGAUGAUCCUCUUGUCGUUGUUUCCCUUUUUCCCGUUUUGUGUAUCUUGGGCAUUAAGUUUUAGAAAUAAAGAGCAUCAGUUGCAUAAUCUGGCUUGGAAUUCAUUUCGUUUUGUCUGUACUUGGAUAAAGCAAACCCAGAAACCUGGUGGAGAUCUUUUUGGAUGAACCUGGAGUUUGUAAACUUUUUUCAUUCUAGUUUUCCGUUCCCUUGAAUGUAGAAUAAGCUUAUGGAACUUGAGAUUAGUUUCUGGUUUGAAAUUGUUGUUAAACUUUGUCGCGUGAGAUUGGUGAAGUCCUAAAAGCAAUGUUUUGAAAACCGGACCGGACCGGCCGGUUCGACCGGUCGGACCGCGAACCGGUCAUGUCUCCGGUCCGGUUCACUGCUAAAGUUGACUUGUUAUAUGAACAGGUCAAAACCGUAAAAAUCGUUAGAACUGUUCAACCCGGAUUGACCCAUUGAACCGCGGUUUUUUUAUUUUUUUCCUAAUUUUUUAAACCGAAUUUAAAAGUCUUGAAAGGUGAAAACGUAUCUUCCCAACUUUUCUUUCUAACCCUAAUUUCUAAUGACGGCUGCCGCACACUCUCUCCCAUUCUUAAUCUCUUCUCCAGUUCUCUUUCUUCUUGUUUCAAAAAUUAAGAAUCCAAAUUCUCAAUGGCAUCGGGCUUCUUAAAUAUGGGGUUUCUCAACUUCAAUUCUCUAUUUUUUCUUGCAAAAGAUUGGAUUAAUCUCACAAAUCUUAACUCUCAAGACAUCGUCCAGGUUAGUUUCAUUUUUUUUUUCAUUUAUUUGUUUAUUACUUGGCGUUUGACAGAUUGUAUGAUUCUUGAGGUCUGCAAUUUUUGGUAGUUUUAUUUUUAUUGUUUUUCUUUGAAGAGCAAUUUGUCUAUUUCAGUUUUUUUUUCUUUUUCUUUUGUGGGUAAGAAUUUGAAUGCCAUGAGAGAAAACCAGUGCAGAAAGCUAAUUUACUUGAUCAACUAUUAUGUCACAAAACUCAGGAUUCAAUUCCUAUUUUUGGUAUUGUAUAUGUACUUCAGUUUUGUUGAUUAUGUACUGAAAAAUUCUUGAAGUACUUUGCACUAAAAUAUAUAAUUCAUUUUGGCUGCUCUUAUCCAUUAGGACUACUCAACAACAUAAUCUUUAUACUAGGCCGACAAACGAUGUUAGGGACACUAUUUAGUGGAUUUUCCAAAAUAUUGCAACAGGCUACACUUGCAAUUUUUGUGCCUAUUCCAGAGCAUGAUGAUCAAAUUGCGUGGCUUGAAAAUUCUUCAGGGAUGUUUACCGUAAAGGAUGCUAUGAAAACAUUCCAGCCCGAGGUACCGCUGUACAUUGGAGUAGUUUAGUAUGGUAUGAAAAUCACAUUCCUAGACAUGUUUUUAUAUUGUGUUUGGUAUGUAACAAAGACUUAGUACACUGGAUUUGAGGAAAUGCGGUGUUCUCAGUUGGGGAAAAAUUCCUAGAACUCAUGAAAAUUGGAUUCUACUUGUAGAGUGGGGCUUAGAUUUUAAGCAAUUUUGUUGGUUUGCAAUGCUUAGUGUUAUUUUGCUGAUGUAGUUUGAGGAUUUCCUCGUGUAUGUGCUACGUUGCAAAUCAUUAAUGAAGUUCUUUCUAUUUUGCUCAAAAAAAAUUAUUUUUUUGAUAGGUAUAACUGAGAUGAAUUAUUUGCUUGAUUUUACAAUUUAAAAAAUUAAUCUAUGAAAGUCAAGUGGUUUGAAAUAUUUGACUUUUUAUCAAGUGAUGUCUUGAAUUAGUCUAUGAGAUUUCUUAUUCUGUGCACAUGUAUGUGUGUAAUACAUAUAUAUAUAUAUAUAUAUAUAUAUAUAUAUAUAUAUUUAUAUAUAUAUAUAAAUCAUUAAACCAGGGUUGAACCGGUCCGACCGGUCGAACCUCAACCCUCUCACCUUACCGGUUCAAUUAACGGUCCGAGUUUCAAAACAUUGCCUAAAAGCAUCAAGGGUAGCAGAAAGUUUUAGUUGCAUCAAGGGUAGCAGAAAGUUUUAGUUGCAGCAAGCUUCUUCGAAGCUUUGCAUGAAAUACUAUCCAAAAUUAUAUUUUGAUCCCUAUGUUUUUAAAUAAUUCUGAUUUGACCUAGAAAAUUGGAAAAAUCAAUCAAUCUUGUCCCUUUAAAAUGUUAAUUUUCUUUGGUAUGAUUUAAUGUGAUUUUUGGACAGAUUAUUUAUGAGUUUUAGGAUGAAAUUCAAGGUUUAAUAUUUUUGUAUAGAUUGAUAGUUUUUGAUUUGGGUUUUAUCGAAGAUUUAAGGAUUUGGGUGAUAUUUUCAUGGGUAUUUGAUUUACUUUUGUGAAUUUGGGUGUGGUGGGCCUUGUUUUGAAUCCUUAAUUUUAUUUUAAUUUGGACCCCUAAUAUUUGUAAUAAUAAUAAUUUGACCCCUAAAACUUUUAUAAUUGUUUCAAUUAGGCCCUUGCUUGUUUUAAUCUCUUGAAUAAGGGGUUGUUUACUUUCAUUUAAAUGCCUUGGUUGACUAUUUCCAUUUCUUUACAUGUUAUUGCUUUUAUUUGUUAAAUAAAUUGGUACCUUGACCAUUUCUUUGUUUUGGAGGGUAAAUAAGAGAAAUUUCGUUUCAUUAUGUCACCAAUUCAAGGGAGGUACACUCUACUCCUUUAUUUUAAUUCUACUUGAUCCUAUGUGAAUUUAUGUGUGUAAUUUCAUUUUUUUGAAUGUUUAUUUAUUUUAUUUUAUUUUAUUAUUCACUUUAUUUGUUUUUUUAAUUUUGUAUAUUUAUUUUAAUUUAAUUUUGGAUUAUUUGAGAGGCAUUUAAAUGCCAAAGUGGAAUAGUUAGGGGCUUCAAGACAUGUAUUUAAAUAGAAUAUGUAAUAGUUAGGUAUUUAUUUUAUUAUUUUAUUCUUUCCCCCCUUAGAAUGUAGUUAGGGCCCCCAAAUGUAAUAGUUAGGUCUCUAUUUGCUUUAUUUGCUUGUGUGUUUACGUGUUUACUUGUUUUCUUAGGGUCUUUGUAUCUAGAUAUUAUGCUUAUGUGCUAUGUGUUUUAUGUGAUAUUAUGUGUUUACUUGCUUUUAUUAUGUUUUAUAUGAUUUAUUUGAUUAUAAUACAUGUAUGACGUCACCACACUAGUCCAACGCUAGUCGCGGCCCUUUUUCCCAUUUUCUCACUAGUCCAAUGUUAGUGAGAACUUGUAGACAUGGGCUAGUCCAACGCUAGACCCGUUAGGGCCGUUCAUAAGCUAGAAUCACAUUUUGCAUGCUUCACUACGUUUCCAUGCAUGUUUUACUUUCUUUCUUCAUUUUGCAUGCUAUAUUUCCCUUUCCCUUGUGCGAUUCAUGACAUCUUGACUUGCAUUUUCAUUUAGGCAAAUUAGAACUAGAUUAGAUCAUUUGUUUGAUUAGAUAGACGAAUUACCCUUUAAAUAUGAGAUAUGGACGAGUAUGGCUUUCUAGCCUUAGCACGCUUGUAUUCCCUCUAUAAAAGGGAAAAUUGAAGUCACGAGGGUUAGUUCCCCGCACCCAUUAUGAUGCAUUCCCUUAGGUUAUAUAUAUUUUUAUUAUUUUCUUUCUUUCGAGUCCCAUUUUUUGUAAUUUCGUGACCUCUUCAAGGAGUCACUUUUGGGCGUCGCAAUUAAUGCGAUUUGCACCAAUCAAGUUUUGAAGAGAUAUUUUGACCCUCCCGAUAGCCAUUAGGUUUAGGUUUGCAUUCAUAUAGUAAACAUCCAAAUGUGAUAAGUUUUUAGGUUAAAUUAAGAAAAUUUUUGACUAAGUCACGCAACUAGUCUUGGCUAGGUUGAAAGGGUACCUUGGAUUUUAUCCUUGCCUUUCUUUUCUUCAACCGUGACUCCUGAACUUUUUUCUCUGAUUUUCGAAGACUUGGAGUCGUUUAAAAAGGGUUUUCUCUACUUUUUAUUUGAAAUUCAUUUUUUAGGUGAUUUGGUACACUUUAAUUCAAUACCAAGUGGUGACUCCUAUUUUUUUUAUUAAAAACCCUUUUUAAACUUUUAUUUUUGGGUCAAAAUCGUCGCACUUUUUAAGUCCCAUUUAGGCCCAUUUUCUAAAAAUUAAAAACUAAUUUUUUACUCAAAAUUAAUUAAAAUUCAUUUUUCUAAACCCGAGAUCGUAAAUUUUAUUUUUCUUCAAAAAAUGGGGAGCGACAAUAGUCAAAAUGCAAAACAAGUUUGCAAGCUAGAAAACGAAGUUGCUGUCUGUCGGGAGACGUUUGAUCUUGAUCAAACAUGUUUUACUGGCUAUUCCUUUAUACAUCUUUGCGGAUUUGGAACCCCCAAAAAGUGUUUUGCGCCAAAUUGAGUAGAUUAUGUCUCAAUUUUUCUAGGAAGAAGUGGAUCAAAUUGAGUUGAUUAUGGCAUUUGGAUCACAUCUGCGAGGUGCUUACACUGGAGGACAGGUCGCAUAUUCUCAAUGGAAAGGUUUCAAAUCUCAAUAGGUCGGGAUCUUCUAGUCUGGACGGCCACCUAGAUGAUUAUUUCAAACUUCAGUUAGCCUUGGAAAAGCUUCGAAAGCCUGCCAAUCCCUUAAUUUCGUGAAAGCUCAUUUGAGACCGGUGUAUUCCUCUCAAAAUAUCGAUCUUCAUGUGGCAUUUGCUUAAUUGCAUGCUUCCCUUUCUAGAUAUAUUGCAGCAAUUUUGUUUUCAUUUACCUUCAAAAUGCUCUUUUUGCACCACCGAGGAGACUUUGAGACAUUCCUUCAUAGAGUGUUAGGUAGCUAAUCAAGUUUGGGAGUGGUUUGAGCAGUUGCUAGGUCUUCAAAGAGUUGCUACGGAUUCACUCAUACAAAAACUACAAAGUUGGUGGAUGCAUACCUUUGGGAGCUCUCUAAAAGCUGCCUUAGCUCAUUUUUUGGCUGUGUUGAUUUGUUGGGAAUUGUGGAAGGCAAGGAAUAAGGCCAUUAUGAGGAUGUGGUCAUAUCUCCAGAUCAAAUUUGCCGUCAGGUCUCUUGGUCACUUCACAGUAUUGAAGCAGUUCAUUCCUUUACUACCUCAAGUCAAGAAGACGAUGUCUGGCUGAAUUUGGGAUUGUUACCCUUUUCAAGAAGGCUGGCAUCAACAAAAUGCAUCACUUUAGUUUGGUCCUUGCCAUUCUUCCCCUACAGUAAGUUGAAUGUUGAUGGCUCAUCUCUUGGAACCUAGGUUAUUCAGGAGGACGGGGUAUUAUAAGGAAUCCUAAUGGCCACGUGGCCACGUGCAGGGUGUUCUCUCAUUCUUCUAUGGAUUUCACACGAACAUGGAAUUAGAGGUGAGGGCUCUUUUGGAAGGUCUCCAACUUUGUACAUCUCUUGGAUUAACAAAGGUGAUAGUGUACAUGGAUUUUGUGCAAUUGCUUAACUUAGUAAAACAAAUUUCAGCUCCGCCUUGGAAGAUUGAUGUAAUCAUUAGGCAAAUACAGUAGGUGUUAACCCAAGUCGAGUUUGUUUUGGAACAUUGCUAUAAGGAGACCAACUCAACAGUUGAUGCACUUGUGAAGCAAGCAGCAAUUACGUGACAAUCAUUAUUUAUAAUGCUACCACUCUAUCAAAGCAAGUGAAAGGAAUCUUAUGUUUAGAUGCUAGACAAUUCCUUUAUAUUCAUAUAAAGCAAUAAUUGUAACGGAGUAGUACCCCUAGUCUUUUAGCUCUAUUCUCACACUACUCUGUAACUUUAUCAAUUCAGAUUAAUAAAUUGGGGCUGGCAUCUUGCCCCGUGUACGGGGCUUUAAAAAAAGUUGCUCAAAUACAUGUGAUUGAUACAAAAUGAAACUUAUACAAAUUUAUAAUUUAAAGAGUUAGUUUCAUUCUUGAAAACCCUAAUUUCCUUACGAAGGUAAGAAAAUAAAUGUCCUUUAAAGUAUGUAAAAUGAACACUUAUCAAAUUUCCCCACACUUAGAUCAUUGUUUGUCCUCAAGCAAUAGGAAAAACCAUACAACAAUGAUUUAAGAAUGAACUAAAUAAUGUGAAACUUUUAAAAUGCAACUCCUCAUCAUAAGUUUGUAAACUAUCAUUAUGCAAUUAUUCAAAUUGCCAUAAAUACUCAUAAUAUCAAGUAAAAGAGAAAUAAUUAUAUCUUAAUUUCAUAUCAAACUUAAUCUUUUAGUCUAACUAAAUUGUACAAGUAAUCAAAUCAUAUAAUUACUUCAAGUUUUUUCUCUUCCAUAUCACUUUUCUUACUUCAAGAGGGAUUUAUUCUUUUUUUACUAUCAAUAGCUCUCUCAAAUUGUGAAGAGGCUUUUUGAUGCGAAAAUCGACAUUUUUAAAUGAAGAUCCCUAGUUACUCAAAACCUUACUUAUUCAAUCUACAUUAUAUACUCUUAAUUUAAAUACCUUUUGAUGCGAAAUUUAACAUUUGUAUAUACUAACCCCUGGUUACUUAGUACUUAAAUCAUAUGAGGAACACAAUUUUUUUUAAUCAAGGUAAAGGUUGAUGAAUUCCCUCAAGAAAUUAAAGAAUAGGAAGAGAAUAACUCUAUUAACUAUAUCAAUCAUUUACUUAUGAAAUCUAUUAAAGCAAGAAAUUUUUUUUAACAACAAAAUUUUAGGCAUAAUUUUCUCUAUUUCACCAAAAUAUGCAAAAAUUCUAAUCACAUAAUAAUACUUUCCAAGCCAAAUAUGAAAUUGACUUCCUUAGUCAUAUAAAUCUAUUUCAAAAUAUAGGAAAAAUUCAAUUCUAAUAGCAGGAACUAGUGAACUUUUGAAAACUUUUGGGGGUAAUUUUGCAAUUUGGCACAAGAUUUUCAAAAAAAUUUUGACAGAAUUUCCCUUUAUAUCUGGGCGAAACUCCUUGCUAACAAACUCAAAAUUUUCAAAAAUACAAGCACAACUAACAUGUCCAAUAUCAAGGCCAACAAGAAUUCAUGAAGCGUAAAUAUCUCCUCCCCCACACUUAGAAUACACAUUGUCUUCAAUGUGUGGGAAAGAUAAAACAACAAAAGAAAGAAAUACUCCCUAACUACAAAGGAUGAAGGCCAGUGCAACCAUGAGUUUACAAACAUCUAGUCUACUGCUUAAUAAAUACUGUAGAUAAGUCAGAAGUAGCACGGCAUAAGUCCUACUAUUAGUAAUCCAUAAAGCAAAAGAAAUACUACUAAAAUUGAAACAAGGACAAUAGCAAAAAGAAACAGAGAGCAAAAUUGAGGCAAUGGCUCCAGAAGUGGCUGUAGUGCCCUGAAAUCCUUAAUCCUCACUAGAAGGUGCAUGAGUGAAUGGUUAGAGUUGGGAAUUGCCCGAGUGAUCCUCGAUGCGACGCACUCGAAUGUCUUAGCAUUCAAAAUUGGCAUCAAUUUGAUCAAAGUGUUCCUCCACCUGGGUUUGAAAACAAUUAAUUAUGUUGAAAAGGUGCUACCAAUUUGAUUGGGAAGGUGGAGGUGGCAGUGGUGGUGCAGACGUUGAAGAGCUAGUUUCAUCUUUAUUUCAUGGAGUGGACAAUGAAGACUACUGAUCCCUUGCUUGGCUAGAUCUUCUAGGCCUUGGUGGAUGAAAAAUAUCAGCAGCCCUUAUAGUCAAUUCAUGUAGAGUAUAUUCAUUAAUCUCAUAAAUAACCCUCACAUGCACCUUUUCCAUGUCUUUUGUAUUAACUCUCUCUUAUUCAAAUAGCAACGAUAAGAGAGUGGGAACCCAAACCUAAAAUUGGUAGUAUGAUGCCUAGCAACCGUCUUUAUAUAGUUGAUAAUGAUAUUCAAGAGUGGAAUCUAAGCAUAUGGAGAAGUUCGAUUGUGGAACAUUCGAUCCAAGAAAUAAAGAUCACUAUUGCAGACUUCAUUCAUGCUACUCUUCUUGGGAAUCACAUUUCUUGAAAACAAAUGUAGGAUCAACCGAUGGCGUGGUUCAAAUGUACUAGCUGUGAGUGUAGAUCUUUGAGAAGUUCUAGUGUAAUCAAAAGAUUGGUUAAAGCGCAUCAUGACUAAAAUAGGAUCCCAACCGUCAUUAGGUGAGUGAAACUCCUUUUUCAAGUCAAUGCUUGGACCUUCACUAUUGCACCCAAGAUGAGCCACCAAUGUAUCUCGAGUGAUUGUCAAUUGCUUCCCAUGGAUACAAGACUUGAUGACCUCUCUACUAUGCCCACCUUUGUUCAUUAUAUUGGCGUAGAACUUUUUGAUCAAAGUUGGAUAGAUAUAACUUGGAAGAGAUAAUAUUGGAGCCCAACCAAGAAUGUUAAAAUGCCUCACUGAUUUGAAAAUUUGAAUCUAUUUCUGGGGCUACAUGCAUUUCAUAAACGAACUCUCUCUGCUCAUGUGCCUUAAACCAUUCUUGAUUCUCCUUUGGAGUGAAUCUAAUCGGAUCAUAAUUUAGGAGAACUCGCCAACUUGUUGAACGUCUUGUGGAUUGAGUUCAUGGUGGUGGAGAUGGAGAAGAAACAUGUUCUAGUUAUGGAUAUAUCUCAUCCUUACAAUUAUGGACUUAUUCCAAAAGAUAAACAGGUUAUAGGCUUGUCCGGUUAAUUAGUAUUUUCUAUGGUUCUGUUUGAUAACAUAAUUUAAUACUUAAAUUUAAUGGAUUCAGAUCUUAACAUAUUCAGAUGGUUUGAUAAUAAAAAAUUGAACAUCUUAAUUAAUUAAGUGAUACUGAAUUUUCUAGACAAAACAUGCUCUCAAAAUUAAGUGAUAAACUAUUAGCUUAUCGCUGAACGUGAUAUACACUCAAAUAUAUUAGAUUUAAUAUUUAACAAUUCAAUAAGCUAAUGAAUUCAGAUUUCAAAUUUUAGAUUUUAAACUUUAAUUUUAUCAAACACCCUCUAAGUCUCACCUUCCUCACUUAACCCAAAUUUCUUCUCCCUCCCUUUUCCACUAGCUCCGCCUCUCUUCACUUCCUUCUCUGCCCCCACCCAUCGCUCCAAUAUUUCUCCUCUUCUCCGCCAUGGCCAAAUCAAUACACAACUCUUUCCUUCGGCUCCUGCAAACGUUGCCUAUCUAGCUUUUUUGUCGAACUCGAUAGUUUCAUAUUAUAUUUUCCUCUUAUAUUAAUUUUCUUGUACCCAAAUCUUCCUUCCCUACAUAAAAAUUUCCACUCAAAAUUUAAUGCCCUGUUUGGGUUGCAUUUUUUUAUGAGUUUUUAUAGAAAAAUAUUGUGACACUUUUUUUAGAUAUGAUGUUUUUGGAUUGUAUCUUCGAGGAGUUGCUCCUUGUUUGGUAAGCCAUUUUUCAUCAAAAAAUUUCUAGAUGGUUCGUGAACAUAUUUCUCAAUCACUUUUUUUCCCCUUACAUAUAUCAAAUCGUUACAGUAUAUUUUCUAUAAAAAUUCUAGAAAAUUGCAAUUCAAACAGGAAAUAAUACAUUUACAUCUAUUUGAAAUGUUGAAUUAUUGCCAAACAGCAGCAAUAGCAAGCAAACUUCGAACUAUAGUAUCCAAACAAAAUAGGGGCAAAUGCUUCUUCAUAAUGAAUGACACGUUCUUCUGCAAAAUCCUUGGCAACUAGAUAAGCCCUUGUAUCCCUGAUCAGUGGUGCUAUCAGAUCGAGUCUCGAUCUCACGUAUGUAUUUUAUCCAGAGCGGAUUUUCCAAGAGCUAGCUAGAUCAACAAGAUCCCAUGAAUGUGUAUAUUUUGACAACAGCUUGCAGUUGGUGGAAAAAAUGGUGGUGGAGCAUUGACAUGCUUCAGAAAGUAGGAUCAUAACUGGAUUAGACAUGCUUCAGAAAGCAGGAUCAUUGACAGAAAGAAUGGUGGAAAAGUCAUGAAGAUCGAGUAGAAAGUUCUCUUAGCUAAGGUUAUUCUAAUAUAGCAGAUGGUGAUGGAGCACGUUAUCGUAAGACUUAUUAGGUUAUUCUAAUAAUGUUGCAUCUCCGGAUGUACCAAAACUCUUGAGAACCAAACAAAUCAUAAUUAGGUGCCGACUGAGAGUUGGAUUGAUAACUUUGAAUUAUCUUGAUUAGGAAAGAGAACUAACAAAGGAAUUAGUGACAAAGGUAAUAUUGAGUUAGAAAUACAUAAAACUAACUUGGCCAAAUUAAGAAUAUUUGGCAACUUUCUUGUUUUUAUUCCUAUCUUAGAUUUGUUAACAAAAACUAACAUACAUAUAUAUAUAUAGAACCUUACAGUUUUUUUUUUGAAGGAUCGAACCUUACAAACUUAAUAAUAUAUUAAAUCGUAGCCAAGAAUAAUGAAAAUUAGUCUAGUAAUUGACAUAUUUUACUCCACUAUAUUUUGCUUAACCUUAACCCACGGGUUUCGAAGAAUAAGGCGUUUCAAUUUUAGAACCUUGUGCAUGGGCUAAUACCCGGACCUAAUCAUAGGAAAUAGGAUACGGCUUAUGCCGGGGCUUGUUUAUUUUGGAGCUUACAUCAUUUAAAUUCAAGGGUUUAACCUACUCAUCAGAAGAAUUGACUGACUUUCACCAAGAAAGAGAAGUGAAGGGGGUAACACUUCACCUUUAUAAAAUAUGAUGAGUGGUGCAUCUCUGUACAUCAUUGGAGUUAAAUUGUCAAGAUAGAUAAUCAAUCCAGUUGAUUAAAAAGUUUGGAAAAAUAUAGUUUUUAGUCCCUAAUAUUUAAUACUUGUGCGGUUUUAGUUUUUAAAGUUCAGAUAAAAAUAAAUCCGGUCCCUGAUGUUUAGUACCUGUGUAGUUUUAGCCAUUAAAGUUUUGGCAAGAGCAAAUUUAGUCCUCAAUGUGUCCAAUUUCAAGCAAAUUUAGGAUAUUUGAAGAAUUAUUUUGAAUUAUUCACAGAAUUUAGUCACGUGCAGUAAUGUGCAUGUUAAAUUGAAUUCAAAAAAAUAAAAAAGUAAAAUAGCUGCUAAUUUUGAACAAUAAGACUAGGACUAAUAAUUCAUGUACUAAUUAAUUAGUAUGCACUUUAGAUACAUGAUAGAUAUGCAAAAUUAGAUUUUAAAUUCAGAUUCAGAUUAAUUGUUAUGCAUCAAAUAGUAAAAAUAGAUACAUUAUCAGUAUAUUAAAAAUUAAUUAUUUAUUAAUAACUAAAUAUAGAAUCUUCCACAUAUCUCUAGAUUAGAAAAUUGUGAAUCUCAAAAAUCAAAUUAAAGAGGGUAAGAAUGGUUGUUGGUGCAAUUGUUCACGACUGUUUUGGAAUGAUGCACAAUCUUUUUCCAAAAAUAAAUUUAUCAGAAACUAAAAAUAAACCUUAUUUGUAACUUUGUAAUAGCAUGUGGUAUUCAAUUAUCAUUCACGUAAGUCGAUAAUUGUGCUAGAAUUACACGAGAACAUUUCCGGUUUUUUUUUUUCAAAUUAGUGGCAAUAUCAUGAACAUCAAGCUAAUGGAUGGGUUGUCUACUUCUAUCUCACUCCUUUUGUUUUGAGAAAAAACAAUUAAAUACUCCUUUUUGUUUUGAGAAAGAAGAAAAAAAGUCCAUUUUAACCUCACCAUCCAAAUCCAAUGAUUAGUUUUAAUCGUUGUUAAAAAAUAAACAAACAAAUAAAUCAGGGAGAAAUAACAUUUUUAGUUCCAAUGUAUGGCCCAUGUGCCAUAUUGGUCUUUAAUGUUUUGACUAUCAAAACGAAUUUGGUUUCUAAAGUUUCUAAUUUUAUGCAAAUUUAGAAUAAUUGAUAGAAAUCUAACAAUUCUAACGGUUAAUCAACUUCUUGUUAUUCAAUAGUAUUCAGUUUGUACUUUUGGCCCCCGUUAUUUAGAGUUUGAAUUAUUAUAGUCCUUUAAGUUUCAAAUAAUGAUAUUAAGGGUUUUAGGAUGGAAAAAGAUACAAACUGAAUUGGAAUUGCCUUACAUAAGUACAGAGUGCCAACUAAACUUCUUUUUCCUGCUUGUUUUAUUUUCUUUGUUUUAUCUAUUCAUGCCACUAGUUUUUCCAUAUCUUUCUUUUUUUGGCACAUAUUAUUGGUCUUGAAUUUGGCAUAAUAUAUGCAAUUAUUCUUUGCAUUAUGAAUAAUUAAUAGACCAUGAGUUCUAUAAUUUUUUUUCACUUACAUUGAUUAGUAAACAUGUAACUAAAUAUUCCUUUGAAAUAUGUGCAAUAUACACUGUAUGUAAAUUAAGUUGAUAAUCAAAUAGCUUUUCCUUUCUUUUUUCUUCUCCUUUUUUUUAACAUUUCAAUAUUAUCAAGUAAGUUUCAAAUGAAAUAUAUAUUUUAUAGAAUUAUUUGAAUUAUUCAAAAAAAAUUAUCAAUGUUAUGAAUAUUAAAAUAAUUGCUUUAAAAAUUUAUCAGUGGAGCGUAUAGUUUUAAUACAAAGGAAAGAUAAGGAAAAUUUUUUUUUUUCAAAAUUGUCUAAAAGCACUUUUACUGGUAUUUACCUCACUAGUUAUUGUAUAACAGUUUCUAACUACAACCAUUUGAAGUCCAUGUCCUCAAGUAUUGCAAGAAUUUGUAUAAUGGUAGUUAGAUUAAAGUUACACGUUUAAAUUAAUAUUCUUUUUUCUUUAGCUAGCUUUACCUUAUAUAUUUUUCAUGUAUAGCUUUUAAGUUUGUAACUAAUUUAAUAAAGAGUCACUCUUUAGCUAAAGGAUAGUUUUGUUACGAUGUGAAGUGUUUUUUGAGAUUUUUGUCGGUAUUUAGGAACACAUUUGUUAUAGUACAUAUUUUAUUCAAUUCAUAUUCAAUUUAUUUUAUGACUAUGCUUAUUUAAAAGCUAAGGGACUAUAUUAAUCGAAAGUUCAAACUUUAGGAAUAAAAAUUUUAAAGUCAAAACUUUUGAAUGACACGAAUUUAAUUUUGAGUAUUAGUUAUUCUAAACUUGCUUAAAUAUGAAAAUUUGAAAAUUAAAUUUAUUUUGCUCGAAAGAAAUAUUAGUAGAGGUGUCAAAAUGGGUGAUUUGGAUGGAUUUGCGUUCGGUAAAAUGGGUAAUGGGUAUAAGUGAGUCAACCCAUUUAUACCCAUUUAAUUAGAUAAGUAUAAAUGGGUAAGUCAAAAAUUGAAUUGGGUAACCCAAUUAUCCAUUUAUAACCCAUUAAUUUUAACUUUUUUUAAACUCAUUUAAAUUCAUUUCUGCAAACUAAAUUAUCAAUGUAUACCACAUUUUGCACCUAUCAUUAGUUUUAAAUAUUUACUUAUAAUACUCAAUAAGCCUAAUUAUCAAUUUUUCCCAUCCGUAUUCUAUGUUGUAAAAUUACAUAUUAUUUAAUAAUUGAACAAUAAGAAUAUAAAAAUUGAACUAAGUACUAUAAAAGUCAACAUAAAAACUUAAUUAAAAAAUCUUGAAACCCUAGCAUUUUUUUUGUAUGUAAAUUUAAAUUUUUAAUUUGAAAAGAUAAAUUGGUAAUACUGAAAAAUGGGCAAGUUAACAAACUAAGAAAAAAUAAAAUGAUAAGAUAAAACCAACAAAUAAUAAUAAUAAUAAUGAAACAAAAGUAGUUAAUAUCAUAACAAAAUGAAAAAUUUGAAAAAAAAAGGGUGGGGAAAGAGAGGAGGUUUGAUGGGUUACAAUUCUAAAUGGGUUAAUUGGAUUUGAUGGGUUAUCCAAUAAUACCCAUAUAUUAAAUAGGUAUUAUUGAGUAACCCAUUUAUAUUCAUAUGCAAAAAUUUAAGAUACCCAUAUCCAUCUAUUUAUGAGCGGAUAUGGGUAAAUUUAAUUAAAUGGGUUUGUUUGCCACCUAUAAAUAUUAGGGACUAAUUUGACACAUUGGCCAAACAUUGAGGAUAAAAACUGCAAUUUUCCAAUAAAUAAGCACCAACCUGCUUACAAAAUGCGUAGUUAACGAAUUGGUUCCUCAGCUGUCACCUACUACGUCAGAGGCUCAACCACCAUACUUUCUUCCACCAACUCUUUCCUCUCUUUCCUCUCUGUACUGGAGUUGACUCUUUCCUCUCUGUCGUGUGUGAAAAUGGCGGCAGCAGCAGGAGAAGAAGUGAAAGUGCCCAGAAUCAAGCUCGGUUCGCAGGGGCUUGAAGUUUCAGCUCAGGGGCUGGGCUGUAUGGGCAUGUCAGCCUUCUAUGGCCCGCCCAAGCCCGAGCCCGACAUGAUCAAGCUCAUCCACUAUGCUAUUGACCGAGGCAUCACCCAUUUCGACACCGCCGAGAUGUACGGGCCGUACACCAACGAAAUACUCGUCGGCAAGGUACUGUAGCUUGAACUGUAUGAUUCUUGAUUGUUGUACAUCAUGCUUUAGUACUUGUACCUUAGUCCAGUUUCUCAGCUCCCCAGUUACAAAUGUGCAAGUGCAGUGGUUAGAUAGCUCCUUUCCUUGGUUAACUUUUUGGAAUUGAUAUUGCGUUGGGACUCAGUAUUUUUUUUAAAAAAAUAUUUUUAAAGACUCAACAGUAUCUUCUGUGUCUCUGCUUCGCAUGGUUUAUACAAAAUCCAAGGUGAAAUUUGGAUUAGAGGAAACUGUAAAUGAACUAGAGGAAUGAAUCGGCUAUAGCUCCUAUAUGAACUACUGGGAAGAUCAUAGCGAAGAAGUAGUCGAGACCUAACAAAAGGAGUAAACCUGAAGUGUUGUGAAAGACUAUGAGUUAGAAAUAGUUUGGCCUCUUUAGACAGGAUCAUCAUAUAAAGGAAACAAAUAGCAUAAUAUUAGUUUGUAGAAGUAGGCAAGAUUGAGAUAUAUUCUGUCCUGAGAACUGAUCAGGUAAAACUGUUUGUAUUGAUAUGUAUUAAUCUGUGUACCCUGGAUGAUUAAUGUUUUGAAAGAAUGAAUGUAGGCUUUGAAGGGAGGGAUACAAGAGAAAGUGGAGAUAGCAACAAAAUUUGGGGUCAGAUUUGUGGAUGGAAAGCGGGAGGUUUGUGGUGAUCCAGCUUAUGUAAGGGCUGCAUGUGAGGGAAGCUUGAAACGACUUGGUGUUGACUGCAUUGAUCUCUACUAUCAACAUCGGAUUGAUACACGUCUUCCCAUUGAAAUCACGGUUUGCUCCAGUUUUCUUUUGUGUUUUAAAUGUUCAUUCUUAUGCUUGAUGAAUUGAAACUUUGCAUGUAAGUCAGAUUAACUGUUAUAAUGGUUUGUAUGAUUGCGACCUUUUUUAGGCCCAAGAAGCAGAUUAAGAGGUCUGACAAUACAUAGGAAUAUGGAACUUUGGCAAGCAAAUAUCAGUCACUUUUCCAAUUUUAAGUCAGAAAUUUAUACUAGAUGUCACUUAUGUGAAAAAUGAAGAAAAGGAAAUUUUUUCUUUGUACAGCUUUGCGGACAUUUUUAUUUGUCAAGCAUGGCAAUUUUCAGAUUUAUGUUUUGUAGCCAAGUGUAAAUUUAUAAACAUGGUAACUAAGCUGAAAGCCACAUCUGCAGCUAAACAGAGUCAAUCUUAUGCUUUUAUCCCUGUGGAAGUGCUUAUUUUUUUAUAUUUGUCAAGAUUUUAAAAUGCUAUAUUCACUUAGUCAAUUGCUGUUCAAGAACCACUUUCAAUUUGUGUCUGUGAAUAUGCUUUUGUUGAUGUUCUGCCAGAGAGAAGCCAAUUGACUUUUGUUUAACAUGCUUUGCAUCCCCAAAGUAUGCUGGAAGACACCAAUUACUCCACUAUCCUGUUUCACCUUCUGCUUUGCAGUUGAGAUCCACAAUAUUGUUCAUUUACCAAGAAAGGAAGCUUUUAAAUCGUCUCUGAAAAAAUAUCCUCCAAGUCCCAGAAAAUCGUGCAAUAUUCGAUUGCAAAUAUAUUGAUGGUGCAACUGUCUUUGGCUCACUAUAGAUGGAGAUACUGUCAUGAUAUAUCACUUUAUACAAACACUCUAUUUCUGUGUAACAGAUAUUUAUGCCCUAAAUACAGUAGAAAGGCCAUUUGUUAGAGCAUUAAUUAACUGUAUCUAAUCUACUAGUAGUUGUGGUACUAGAUGUAGGAGAAAUGGAAUAGAUGAAAUUUGGUCUCAUUCAACUUUAGGACGAGAUUGAGUUUCAUAUGCUGUGCAAUUGGUUCAGAAGUUGCAUGGUCUAGGAGUUUGACAUAGUAAUUUAGAUGACGAUAAUACUGGUUGUGAUACUAGAUGCAGGAGAAAUGGAAUAGAUGAAAUUUGGUUGCAUUCAACUUUGGAGGAGAUUGAGCUUCAUAUGCUGUGCAAUUGGUCCAGAAGUUGCAUGUUCCAUGAGUUUGACAUAGUGUUUUAGAUAAUGAUAAUACUUGUGUUGAAAUAUAUGUACCAGCAACUGAUCCCAAAAAGGAAAAAGGGAAAAAGAAUUGUUUAUAUGUGCACAAAUAUUGUUGCCUGAUUAGCAUAUUACUAUACGUUGUAUGACCUUCUUUAAGAUAUGAUGACCUGUGCUUUGUCUUUAAUUUGAGAUGUCCUAUCUUGUUGAAAUUCGAUAUGCCAUUUCUGUCCCCCCUUGUGGCUUCUCUUCUUGUAGUGCAUUAAGCAAUGUGGGCAGUCAUUAGUUGACAUGCAUGGUUCAAGUUGUCCUUUUUAUAAACAUUUGUGGAACUUUUUCUAUGCUGUUUUAGUGUUUAGCCCAGAAACAGUAUUGCUUGAUUUCUUUAGGAUUAGAAAGAAAUUUUCUCAAAAUACAUUGACUCAGUCCAUCACAGAGUUGAACAAAAUCAAACAAGAUUGGUCAGAUACAAGUUUUGCUUUGUUUAUGAAAAACCAAGAAUGCCAAAUGAAUCAUAUUGUUGUUGCAAGAAGAGCUAUUUCAACUAUUUGGGUUAAAACAAUUUCCUUUCGAGCACUAACCUUUAGUGGCAGCUAAUUACCACUACAUCUUUGAUGUUAUUGGCUUGAUGUGUAUUUGAUCGAAAUUGCACCACUGCAAUGAACUAUGUACUUCGGCCACGUACAUUUAGAUUUCACUUGUCUUGGGACAAUUAAUACUGAACGAGCUUUUUAUAAUAGCAUCUGUUCCUUCAAAUUCUCUUUUUCCUAGAUAGGAGAGCUUAAAAAACUGGUUGAAGAGGGUAAGAUAAAGUACAUAGGUCUGUCUGAGGCCUCAGCUUCAACAAUUAGAAGAGCACAUGCUGUUCAUCCUAUAACAGCUGUACAGCUCGAGUGGUCAUUGUGGACCAGAGAUGUGGAGGAAGAGAUUAUUCCUACUUGCAGGUAUGGGAGUUUUCUGCUUUACUAUCUUUAGGGUGUGCAAAGAAUAUGCUACUCUAACUCAUUUUUCUACAAUCUUUUAGAGAACUUGGCAUAGGAAUUGUGGCUUACAGUCCACUUGGACGAGGAUUUUUCUCAUCAGGUGCAAAGUUGAUGGAGAAUUUGGCUGAUGGUGACUUCCGAAAGGUUUGUGCACAUUCAUUAUGAUCAAGUGCAUUUUACUAUAGAAUGUCUAUGGUUAGUACGAGUCUGUCAUUUAUCUACUUAUAUCACAUUCACUAACUGUCUUGCUUGAUGUUCCUACCCUUUGUCUAUUUGCUGUACUUUCUGAACUUUUCAAAAUACAAUAGUUUGGUUAAACCUCCCUUAUGCAAUCAAAGUUAUUGAAAUUUCAACGGAAGAGAAGGACAAAGCAUGUCUUUUGACAUUGUUGUGCGUAUUCUACAUGCUAGCCUAAUUCAAAGGCACAUUACAAUUUUGUCAGCUUAUGAUAAUAGCUUAAGAGUACUCUUUGUUAACCAAAGGAACUUCCCUUGGUGAGGCUCAUUCAAAUCAAGAGUGAUUUUUUAAGGCAAAGGAGUUAGGCAACGAGCUGUAUCUUGUGGGCCAAGGUGAAGCCUCAAGGCAUAGGCAUAAGGACUUGCAUUUAUUAAAUUACUAUUAAAACUGGAGAUAUAACCUUUAAAAUACCUACCAAGUUAUAGUUGGAGGGUCUAAACAGGUUUUAGCACCAUUUCCCUUUCCUUAUUAGAUAAGCAUUUCAAAAGGAUCCACCAUCUCUCUGGGUGAAGGUGUAGUUCCUAUCAAUGUAUAUCCUUCAACCUUGUAAAGGCUUUAGGUCUAGUUCUGUAAGUGAUAGUACUGAUUGAAGUGCUAAUCUUCCAGAUGAUACAUUGGGAGCUAAAAAGCACAACAGUUAGCUCACUAACUUAUAAUCAGAUGACUGCAACUAAUGUCCAGGGAUCAUAGUUUGAGCCAUUUUCGCAUGUUGUAACUCUCACAAAUUUUCUAGCAAGAGCUUUGAAUUACGCAGCCAGCCUAAAUGCUUAUGGCAUGCAUAAUAGAUGACAUCCACACCCCCAAAUUGACUCCCAAAACAUAUUUAUGUCUUAAGGUAACAAGUCCGACUUUGGGUUAAAUGUAUGCCUGACAUAUAGUUGGCCUCACUGUCCCUAACUAGGAAAAAAGAAGAUACUUUGUUAACAGGUCUCCUUGCCAACAUUUGCCAAAGCUAAAAUCUUGAUUUGAUUUGCAUACUAUAAAACUGUGCUUCAACUUGUUUAACAUGUUUCUUUUCCAGUCCUCUUGUCCUGUGCAAUGCUAGAGUAAUCAGUGCUUAUAUAACACUUCUUAACUUGCUAACUUUUGACUUUUUCAUCAAUUCAUACUCGAUUAAUACAGACAGCUUGUUUCCUUUAUGGUAAGGUGCUUGACUUUCUUAAUAAGUAGCUUGAAGAAAGUUAAAGUCACUUUUAAGUAAAUGCUUGUUAAACUUACUAGGGCCUAUUCGCUCUGGCAAUACGUUCCAGAGUUGUGCCUCCUAUAGGUUCUGCAAUUAGAAAUAUACUAGAUGAAGUGUAGGAAAAUCUUAGAAGAGUGAGUCAUCUUUUUUAUGUUAAGCUGUAACUCAGUUAUGAUGAUUAACCUACAUGACUGGAUUAAUAUAUUUCUCAAGUAAUAUUGGUUUCUAUGUCUUGGUAUCUUUUCUACAUUCUGCAGUAGAUAUUGCUGACUUUGGAAUAAUGAGAGAACCUAGCCGAAUUCAUUUUUGUCUUAACUUGCACAGUCCCAUCAUUCCCCUGAAGCUAUGUAAGUUGAGUUUACCAAGCUGCAAAUUUGUCUGCUUUAUUCCCAUCUGAAAAUACUUGCAUAACUGUUUAUUGGUUUUUUUCCUUCUGAAAAUGCUUGCAUAACUGUUUAUUGAGAAAUUUUAAAUUUUAUGUGAUGCAGUUUUUGCCAAGAUUACAACCAGAAAAUGUUGAGCAUAACAAGAGCUUGUUUGAGCGCGUUAAUGACAUCGCUUCAAGGAAGGGUUGUACCCCAUCACAGCUAGCAUUGGCAUGGGUCCAUCACCAGGGAAGUGAUGUUUGCCCCAUACCUGGCACUACCAAGAUUGAGAACCUGAAAGAGAAUAUUGGAGCUUUAUCUGUAAAACUGUUAGCAGAGGAUCUUGCUGAGCUUGAAUGCCUUGCUUCAUCUGGAGUCAAGGGUGAUAGAUAUGGGUCCGGCACUGCCACUUGGCAAAAUUCUGAUACUCCACCUUUGUCAACAUGGAAGAGUGCAUGAAAACGACCUUUGUUGUGGUGAUAAUUCUUAUAACCAUCUGCCUGAUGGUCCAUUUUCAUUGCUUUGAGGGUUUAAUAGCUUUGUUCCAAUAAAAAGUUAAUCCUUGUGGUGACCACAGAUUCUGUAUUUGAUUAAAGAUUGGGUCGUGUGAAAAAACUGGUUGUUCUUGUACCAGGACAUGCUGAGUAUAUCUUUUGCAGCUCUUGAAUGAAUGGAUAUGAUGUUUUAUCCUUUGUAUUCUAUGUGUGUAUAUCUGUAUGGACCCCUUAUGUCGACCAUAUAGCUGCAAAAAUGAUGCCUGUGCUACCUGUAUGAAACCUGUGAAGGGCUCUAUGUUUAAUGAGUAAGAAGUCCAUUUACUAGACAAAAACAAUGACACAAAAUGUGACCAAUAAAAUUGGAAUAAAAUAGUGCAUAGAGAACUCGAAAUGUAAAUGCCAUAGAUGACAUCUGUAGACUUUAAACAAAUUGGAAAACAUCUGAAUCUCUCUCAUUUUCUAUGCACAGUCGUAUUCUUUUCAGAAGAAGUGCGGAUUCAAUUGAAUAUCAAUGGGAAUAAAAUUAGAGUCAUCAGAAUGGGAAAAAAGGCAAGAAAAGAAAAGGAAAUGAUCGUACUGAGCUGAUAUUGAAGUGUUUUCUUUUGGCUGUAAAUCCGUAAUUGCAAGCUCAUUGGAGCCAAGAACAGAGGAUGAUGAAUUCUUUGGUUCAGCAGGUAGAAGCCGAGUAAAAGAAGGUGAUUCUUUCACACUUCAGUAGUAGUGGGAAGCUUUGUACAGUAGAUGUUGCCACAGACACACCAUGAAGCUGUAAGCAGCCGCACACCAUACAAAAAGUCGUGACUUUUAUUUCUGAGUCCACAGUGGUAAGUGAUGAGGUGAUUUCCGAAUGGUUGGACCGAGUCAAUCUUGAAGAAGUGACUUUCGGCUGAAAGACCUAGUUGAAGGAAUUCACCUGUCAGAUCUGCAAUGUAUGGGGCUUUAUCCUCCGACCUUACUUCGACAAUUAAGUCAGUUCGGAUAUUCAAUCUCAAACUAAAAGUGGUUUAAGAACCUCAAGUAUGUGUGUUUGUGAGUCCAUACCUUUCCUACGGAUGGGAGGGUAUUUAUAGUGGACAGAACGGUGUGAAAAAUGAUGAAUUUUAAUUUCCAUGGAUCUGAGACUGACGGGGACAGUGUUAGGCUUAAUAGAUAGGACAUAUCAAUGAUCAUGCCAUUCUGUCAUAUCACUGUCAUGUCAUUCCAUCAUGUAGAAGUAAGCUUUUCUAGUGCGAUGUCAGGUGCUAGAAAGUGGAACGGUUCGGCUACCAUUGGAAGACUGAGGUCAGCUCCAUGGGAGAGGCAACGAGCCGAGGUGGCAUAGGCCCGAGAGGGUUAUCUUGACCAAUCACUUAACCGAGAAGGGCCGAAAUGACGGCCCUCAGUAAGUAUUAUCUAAUAAAGGAAAUUGGCAUUGAUAUAGUUGCAUAUGGUCCUCUCGGCAAAGUGUUGUUCAUAGUUGGUGCAAAGGUACUUGUGAACAUGACCAGCAAUUGCUUUACUAUUGUGGGGGUUUGUGCUUGAUAGGCUUGUACCUUUACAGUUAUACUGUGACAUAUAGAAGUAUUUUCAUAAAAAUGGUUGAGUUUCAUUUUUCGCUCCAUGCACGUUUUCAUAUAUUGACUUCAACAUUUUGUUUCUUUUUUCAUCUUCAUCAAUUCCAUGAAUUGUCAUUGGUCGAUAACAUGGUUUCUUCUGUUUGAGUUUUAUUAUCUUCAACAUUGUGUUCCCAGUUUUUCUUCUCAGUUUUCAUCAGUUCCAUUAAUCUUGUCACAGUUGAUAACAUGGUUUCUUCUAUUGAGUAGCAUAUGCUAUCUGACUGCAGUAAAUUCUCUUAGGACGGUUGACCACACAAAAGAAAAGAUUCCUGCCCAGGCUCCCUAAUAGAAUGUUUAAUCGAUCCAUUGCAGAUCGACCGAAUUGGUGCAGAAGUUGUAAAACUUUCUACUGCACAUUCCAAGGGUGGUGCACUAAAUCAAAUAAACAAGUGGAAAACAAACAUACAUAAUUGACUAUCCGUAAUAGUGAAAAAAAUGCAGGUUUCAUUUAAGAGUGGAGAUAUUUGAUGAUAGUGUAGAGGCUAUCAUUGCUGUCUUUGAAGAACAAGCAGAAUUGCUGAUUGGUUGUAAAGCAUCUGAAUCCAUACAAAUCUGUAAGCGACCAAGUACAGUCCAAGGCAAAGCAAGUAAUUUUAGUUACACACAAUGUAUGAUUUAAAUCAUAACUGCUUACAUAUCUUUAAAACAUUCAAUUCAGGGAAGAGACAAUACAGCUUAAUACAAAACUAUGAUGGCUUCGAAGUUCGAGAUUUCUCGAUCAGACCAAAACAGAUAACAGGAGAUGCAGCUGGAAAGAUGUCACCGAUAGCGAAUGCAUUGCAGAAAAUUGAAGAAAUCACCAAAAUAGAGCUGUCUGUUAAAAGAUGUUGAUGACAAGGAAGCUUUCACGUCCAGUGAUCCAACAAAUCCAAUCACUAUUGAAGAUGAUGACAACCCACUGGUUGACUUCAAGAAAAGCAGUCCUGGAAAAUGGGAAGUAUGACUGUUGGACCUAAGGGACUCAAAAAUGUCAAGGUAGAUACAAUGCUACAUGUUUAAGUUUCUUUGCUUUCAGUUCUAUUUUCCAUUUGCUGAGUGCUUCUAAGUUUGAUUCCACAAAAACACAAAAGGUUUAACUCCUUUGAUAUUGUGCAUGCUUACUUUUCACAACGCUAAAUUCAUAGCUCUUCAACUUUUGGCAAAGUAAAAUUAAAACCCUUCCUUGCAAUUCAACAUGCAACGCACAUUCUCAAUUACUAGUACUACCAAUGAUCCUACAUGCAGCUGCACUUGUUCUCUUCUAAUUUAAUGUCCAAUUGCCAACGAACUUCUCGAGCAAAUCUGGCUUAACAAACAAACACGAAGCAAGCGUGAUUUGCUGCCCUCAAUUCUCAUGCUCUGUUGCAAAAUUAGACUUUUCUGUUGAUAGAAUUCAAGUAGGCAUAGUAAAUAAGAAAAGAAGUUUAGUAUGUUUGGACAAGAGUUUAUUUGAAAUGAUUAUUGUAACACACACUUUUUGUGACGUGAUAUAUGUGAGAUAAAAAAAUUGUUAGAAAAAUAAAAAUGUGUUAUGUAAGCAAAUAAUUUCCAUGCAAAUAAUGGCUAUCCAAACACAAUGUUUGCAUUAAAAAUGUUAUACUUUUCUUUUUUAUCUUUUCCAAAAUUUCGGUCACUUUUCAAAUAAAAAAGUAAAGUGAUUUGUUUUGUUUUUUCUGAUUUUACCCUCAAGAGACAAGCCUAAAUUUUGUGGUUGUGUGGCCAAGAAAUGACAAUCAAAUCAAGAGUUGGGUAAGCACAUUGCAGGUAGCAACCGUCCAAAAACGGCCACGAUUUGUUAAAAAAAAAAAAAAUGUAUCGCUCAAAUUACAGCUUGUAUGUCAAAUUUAAUAUUGUGUGUGGGAUCUAAAAAUUCUGUUCUAUUUUUACGAAUUGUUUCGGCCUAAACAAUUUUUUUACAACCGUUUUGGACCUUGGUAGUUGGUCCAUCAAAUCAUAUGUCUACAUUCUAAUUGCACGGAUGAAAUAAACAUAAGGCGUCAAAACAGCAAAUACAUCCCUUUGGAUUGCUAAUGCCAACAUCGGCAAGUUUAAUUUCUGUACGUGGCGUCCUGAAAAGUUUUGGGUUAGACUUUCACCCUUAAGUAAGAGUCGGACUUUACGGUACUUUCCGGAUCAAAUCUAAAUUAGUUUCACUAAAGGGUGGAAACACUAGAUACUCAAAGCAACUCCCAAGUAAGAGUCAGAUUCUGCAAGGGCUCUCCAGUCGAAUCCGGAUUAGUCUCGUUAAACGUGAAAAUACUGGAUGCUCAGAGGAAAAAAAAAAAUUACGUCCCUUCGGGGACAUCCGAUAAAAGUCAAAUCAGCAGAUACGUUAGUGUCUUACUUGCCUAAAUUUUUGGCUUGGACAUUUUGAACACCUCUUGUCAUUGUGGGUCCAUCAAGAGCCCCUACUCAUAGUAUCUUUUUUUUUUGGGGUCAAAACCCUACUUAUAGAAUCAAAAUUAGGAUAAUUUCACACCAUGUGGAAACACUUCGGGUAAAAAGUACAAGUCCUACGAAAUUUUUUUGGAAUAGAAGGAGUACAAAUUUAGGGGUGAAGGGUGGAAAUAGUCUUGGAAAUCUUGAAGCAAAGUAUAAAGAGAUCAAGUAUUUAAAAACUAUCAUGCAAGCAAACAAUCAAGCGAAUUUAGUAAAAGCCAGUUGAAAAGAAUCAAUAGUAAAACAAGAGCUCCUGAAAAAUAAUUUAGCCUUAAGUAUGUUGGUAAAAGUCACAAGCGCAAAAAAUAGUUAGAUGCAUUUAAACUCUAUAAUAGUUAUUAUUCACACUCCUUUCCUUUCUAACCAUUUUUCACUUAUGAAACGAUAAAUUUAAUAAAAAGAAAAAAAUAGUGAGAAGAGUGUAAAUAAUAAUUUUGGGAGUGCCAUUAAUGUUUUUCUUCUGCAUGAGGUGAAAUAUCAGUAACGAGACAAGAUUUGAAAGGUUUUGAUUUUCAAACCUCUAAGCGUCCAUUGCAGUUUUAUAAGAUGUCUUAGCCAAAAAAUAAAGGAAAAAGAAACAUAAAAAAAAAAAACACGAUAAUUAGUCACGUGUAGGCCUCCUUGGGUUAGAGUCGUCAACUUUAAGAUUCGUUUGGAAUUGCGGUAGGUUAUUAAAAAAUAGUUUUUUAAUAUAGCUUUUAAUAAAAGUAUUUAUUAGACGUUUGGAGACAUAGUUCAAUAAGUGCUUAUUGUAUUGGAUAAUAUGUAAUUUGAAAAUUUUUAAAUGUAUUUAUCUCUUUAUUUAGUUUAUAAUAUAUGAUAAAAUGAUAAAAUUUAAUAUUUUAUUUUUUAAAUUGCAAAAACUACUCUAAAAAUAUCAAAUUUGAAUUUUUAAUAAAAGUGUUUUUCACACCAAAAAUUCUAUUUCUAAUUUCAUGGGAUGAUAUUCAUAAAUAUUUUUAAAGUACUUUUGACACCUAAAAUAUUUUUUUAUUAGAAAAAAACCGCAACCUUGAAUGGGACCUUUGUUGUGUUGAAGAUGAUGUGGCAAAACUCUAAAGUCACCCGAAAAAGUUCGCCACGGUACCAUAACAUAGAAAAUGAAAGCAAAAUGACAAAAAAAAAAAAAAAAGAAAAGAAAAGAAAUUGCUGACCUUUGCGCUUACAGCAUCCAAGUCCCAAUCAAAUGAACCAUAAAUUAUCCCAUGGAUUUUGUCUUGUCCCUUUUUUUGUUAUAAAAAGAGAAUUUCAUUAACUGAUUACUGAAAAUCGUAUAGCAUGAUUUGAUUUACAUCAUUGAUGAUAGGUUAAACAUACAUUACAAAUUAUAAAUGUGCAAAAUUUAAUAAAUGCAAAAAAUUAUGAAAAGAUAAAAAAUACAAAAAAAUUUAAAAUUAUCUUCUAAGAAAAUAAACAGUUGCAACUCCCUUCUAUGUUAUUGGCUUAUUGCAAUCGCCAGAUUUUAUCUUGUCUUAGUUACUGGUUGAGAAAUACAUACAAAUCGCACACAAAACAGUCACUUCCUAUUUCCUAUUACAAUUAAAGAAAGAUGCUACUGAAAUGCGUUAAAAAAAAGUACUGAAAUUGACGUAAAGUUGUUGGGUGAGAGAGUAAGGCUGUUUUGAUAAUAAACUACCUACAAAUCCAGUCAGUAGUAUUGAAGUCGGUAAUAGUAUAGGUUUAUUUAUUUAUUUAUUUUUUCACAAUUGUCCCAUGACCUAGAACUCAAAAAUUAUAAUAAAAAAUUACGGGAGAUGAACUUCAUCGAACCAAUGUAGAAGGGGAGACAAUUUACACAUAUAGAAUAUGUGUGAGAGAAGAGCAAUAAUACCAAUAAUAAUGUAUUAAUUAUACACCAUAAUAACAAGGCUAUCAAAUUUCACUUUUCUCAACUGAUGACAAUAAUAAGAUUUCUUAUUUAUAGGCUAAAUAAUUUAGUAAACAAGUUUUACAACUAUAAGAAAUUUUCUAAUAAAAUAUUAAUUCCUAAACAAUAAAACUACUAUAACUUGAUUUAGAAUUACUAAAAUUUUAACUUCACUAACCACCGCUAAAUAACAAUAUAGAACCUUCUAUUUUUUUUUAGGGUUGAUUUAGUAUGCCGACAUUGUUUUCCUUAAGUCAAUCUCUCCCAAUUCUAGUUCAACACAAUCAUGAAUAAUAAUCUCUUUUGCAAAUUCUACAAACGUCAAUUUGAAUUAUUCAUCUUCAAGAUUUCGUUGUUGCAAUAUUCCACGCACCUGAACAAAUUUAUCUCGUUGCACAAUUUUCUUUUGACUCGCUAAAAUAAUUCACACUUUUUGGAUAGAUUGUUUUCGUCGCACAAUUUGAUGCCAAUUUAUUGACAACUCAUUUCGUCACAAUUCAAUAAACAGGAUUCUUUUCCGAACUCCAUCUUCACAUAGUCAAUUUGACAAUUUGGAUCUAAUCUUCACCAACUAGAUACUCCACGACCAGCCUUAUGGUCCAACUCAAGCAAUUGACUUAUUCAUAGCAACUAUUAUGCUCUAACUCUGAGAGAAGAAAACACUCAGGACUAAUCUCAUAGCUGGGACAAUUUUUCAAUAUCUACAGGCAUCUCAAGAUCAAUUUAUUGAAUCUAGAAUUCUAAUACCAGAUAUAAAACUCAAAUAUUAUAAUAAAAAACUACGAGAUAUAAAUUUCAUCGAACCAAUGUAGAUAAGGGGGUAAUUUACACACAUAAAAUAUGUGUGGGUGAAGAGGAAUAAUACCAAUAGUAAUAUAUUAAUCAUACACCAAAAUAAUAAUAAUAACACUAUCAAAUUUUACUCUUCUCAACUGACAACAAUAAUAAGACUCUCUAUUUAUAAACUAAAUGACUUGAUAAUCAAGUCUUAAAAGUUUUAAAAUCAUAAGAAAAUUUCUAAUAAAAUACUAAUUUUUAAACAAUAAAACUAUCAUCAUUUGAUUCUAAUAGAAUUACUAAAAUAUUAACUUGACCAAAACAUGGUUAAAUAAUAAUAUAGAACUUUGUGUGUUUGGAUUGCAAUUUUCUGGAAUUUUUUUGUAAAAAACGUAUUGUGAUUUGAUAUAUAUAAGGAAAAAAGGUGAUUGAAAAAUAUAUUCACGGAAAAUGUAAAGUUUUUUUUUUUUAUAAAAAAAUCCCUGUCCAAACAAGGAGGCUUGAUUUAGCAUGUGAACAUCCCUUAAUGCACGUGUUGAGGCAUCAAGAAAGUAUUUAUACUAAAUGGAGAAUCACUGUUCACAGGAAUAGGAAUGGCAACGGGGAGUGUUUAGGGCUAGGGAGGGCGGGGGCCUGCCCUCCCCUGCCCCAUUGCCCACUACUUCCCCCCGCUCCCCCCGGUCCCUUGCCCCUCGCUCCCCCACCCCGCCCCACUUUCUCUGUGGGAUUAAUAAAAAUUUAGCAUAUAAUUUUUAAUCAAAAUUUAGCAAAUAAUUAAGUACUAAAAUAUCAACACAUCACCAAAUCAUUAUUCAUUGUAAUUUUACAAUUGAAAUCCAUAAAAACAAUCAAACAAAAAUUAUUUGAAUACAAUCUAACAUGAUAAAGUAAAUACAAUUAAAGUAGUCAAAAUUUUCACUUUUCUAAUAAAUACAAUCACUAAGUCAUUAUUGUAUUUUUUGAGAAAAAAAAUAUUAUUGUGUUAAGUGUAAUUAGAAAUUUAGUAUAAAUAUAUUAAUAAAUUGAAUAUAACUAAUUAAUAAUUUCUAUUAAUAGAUAUGUAUAAUUAUUAAUAUAAUUGAUAAUAUUAAUUAUAUUACAUAUACUAAUAUACAUUAUAUAGUAUUUAUAAUUAAUAAUAUCAUUAUUAUCAAUUUGUAACUACUUAAAUUAUAUAUUAUAUAUACACAUAUAAAUAUAUAUAUUUUGUAGGUGGCAGGGUGGGUAAUGGAGCAGGGGUAUAUUCCCCUGCCGCCGCCCUGUUUCUUAACGGGGAAAAAAAUUCCCCCGAGUCUACCCCACCCCCGUUCCAACCCUUUUUCAUUAGCCCCGCACGGAUAUCUACCCUAAUUCUCAUUCCUACGUAGGAAUUGCGCCUAUAGGCUGAUUUUGCGUGAUUCCAUAGCUCAACGCCAUCUAAUUAUAACACUGGUGUGUUCAUAGGAAGGUAUGCAAAUUUGCCGAUUUUACUGGAUUCUACAACUCAAUGUCAUUGAUUAUCCUAAUGUGUUCAUUGAAAGGUGCGUUCUGAAGAAGUAGCUUUUGACCAGAUGAGCUGCUCCAGAUAUCGAGAGCGUCGCCGGAUUGGUGGAGUAGCUAAUCAAGGAUCACCUGCUUGAAUUGUCAGAGGCGGGGCUGAGUCCCCCGGUCUUCCUCCGAAGAUUAAGUUAGCUUAGUGGUAUACUAAUAUGGGAGUAGUUUUAGAGAGAUAAAGAGUAGACUCUUUCCUUUACCCAAGAUUCGUUCCCUUUCUCAGUGGGAUGUUCGGCUAUUUAUAGGAGACAGUUUGGACGGUGGGGUCCAGGUCCCUAGAAGACUGAUAGAGACAGCAUAUCACCUUGAUGUGAUCAAUCUGUACAGAGAGCAGGGUGUCAGAACAAUGCGCAGUGUCAGGGGUCACAUCCACGACUGUCACACCUCGGUUAGUGUGAGUCAUAGGACUGGAUUGAGGUGAUAGCGAGGUGACGAAGUCACCUCGGUCAUCAGGAUGUUAGCCGAGAUAGUUACGACGGGGGAAUGAUCAUUCCGAACUGGGGUACCCUACAGCUUCCCCGAGGCGGAAUGGCCAUCCUCAAUAAGCCCCCCAAACCUCGGUAGGGUAUCAGUUGCUGGUAGCUUGCCGAGGCUUUUGCAGGGAAAUGACGAGAAAGCCCCUGGAUGCUAUAAUGAUAACGCGCAAAAUACGAAGAGUCAGGAGAAUGAUGGGACAACUGUCUGACAAAUUAAUGAAACGUGAAUUGACAUAGGUCAGGAAGAUGGAGGGUUAGGCAACUGUCGGUCAAAAUGGCGGGAGCUAAUAAAUGAGAGAACGCGCCUUCCUGUGUAAGUUCAACGUACAGGCCUUCGGUUUUCCUCCCCCUUUUAUAAAUAAGGGGUCCUCUUGUCACUUUCCACCCUUCUUCGCUUUUUACUUCUUACCAUUUGCCCAUGUGAACAGCUUCCCGACUUGGCGCUACAGCAGAAAACUCAAAUCUUCUUAGAAACAAUAAGUUCGUCUCUUUUCCUUAGCUAAUGGCACGCACAGCCCGUACUC
rnacentral:lncRNA from 1 species